AAUGGUAAAGGUUCUUCUACCUCCCUAGGCAGGAAAGAAGCAGCCAAUACUUUAGCCGCCGCACACUAUGCCGCCACCGAGAAGUCCAUCAAGAAGGCCGAAACCGCCAAGACACCUGCAAAGGUCGUGGCUGCCAAGCGAGACGCAGCAAAGUCUGUUGACAAUGCAUUAAAGUAUGGUGCCAUCUCUCGGAAAGCAGCCGGUACAAGUUCUUCUACCUCCCCCAAUAGGAAAGAAGGCACCACUGAUGCUGCUAAGAUGUUCACCAAGAAGGCUGAAACCGCUACCACACCUGAAGAGGCCGCGGCUGCCAAGCAAGCUGCAGCCAAGUCUACCGCUGCUGCAUCAAAGUAUGGUGUCAUUUCUCAGCAAGUAGCUGGUACAAGUUCUUCUACCUCCCCUAGCAGGAAAGAAGCUGCCGGUACCUUGGCAGGUGCUCGCAUAGCUGCUGCCGAGAAGUCCAUCAAGAAGGCUGAAACCACCACAAGACCUGAAGAGGCAACAUCCGCUAAGAAGGAUGCCGCGAAAUCCGAGGCUGAUGCAAUGAAGUACGGGGCCAUCUCUCAGCAGGCCGCCGGCAAAAAUGGUGCCUAAGUGGUGCCUUAAACACCUAUUCACACGCAACAUCAUCUACAUACUACCAUGCAUGCAAAAUAGCAGCAUUCAGAUACCACAUUAUGCUAAUUCUCAUGCAUGCACGCUUUGUUUAAACGUUCCCAUUACGAAUCAUGUAUUAAUGUCUUGCUUGUUUUAUUUUUAGUAGUAAGACACGCUUGACUUGCUUUAAAAAAAAUACAACAAUCGACGUAUACAUGUAUUAUCUGAAAAUUAAUAAUAUGAGUUCCACCGCAAUUUGUUUCUUUUUGUCAUAAUUUGGGUGCAAUCAAUGCACACAUCCAAUACACAAAAUUGGACGACUCAAUGUGUUAUGGCUCCAUGGAGCGGCGAAUCAUGUUUUAUUGUCUUGCUUGUUUUACUUUUAGUAGUAAUGUCUUGCUGGUCAAUGUAUUAUGGCUCCAUGGAGCGGCAUAAUGAUAUAUGAUAUAUCUUCACUACUUCAAAAAGAACUUAAGGUUUUGUCAUACAUCUUUCCUUCAUCCAUCCUCCCUACGAAUCCUUCCUGUUUUGAUUUUUUCUCCCAUCUUUGAUUUUUCUCCCCAUUGAUUCUACCUAAAAACCACCUCAAUGUCACAUGUUUACUGUAUAUGUCAAGGCCUCCUUUGGUUCAUAGGGUAGAAAAAACAUAGGAAUAGGAAAGUCAUAGGAAAUGAGAUGACAUGUAUCUCAAAUCCUAUGAUUGGGAAUAGGAAAGGAGAUGCCCUUUGAUUCACAUCAUAGGAUUUUUUCAUUGAAUCUAGGCUAAUGUUUAUUUUCCUAUGAAAUGUGAAGGAGAGGAAGAAUUCCUCCAUAGGAUUAGGAUUCCAUUCCUACAAACCAAAGGACUCUAAAGGAAUUUUUCCUAUAGAAAUCCUAUCCUAUGAAAUUCUUACAAGAUUCCUCCAAAUCAAAGGAGGCCCAAGUGGUUGUGAUGAGACAGUGGCUGGGCACUUCAGAUUUAUUCCCGUAACUGACUGUCAAAUUGAGUCAUCUGUCAUCCUUUCGAUGAUUGUAAGAAAGUUAUAUGUUUAUUGUAUGUGCCAAGUGGUUGUGAUUAUCGUUACCGGCCACAAAGUUAUAUUUUCUUGUCUUAACGAAGGGUUGCAUACAAUGCGUGUAGCUCUUGACGCCUGAUAACCCACAAGUAUAGGGGAUCGCAACAGUUUUUGAGGGUAGAGUAUUCAACACAAAUUUAUAGAUUCGACACAAGGGAGCCAAAGAAUAUUUGUAAGUAUUAACAACUGAGUUGUCAAUUCAACCACACCUGAAGAUUAAUUAUCUGCAGCAAAGUGAUCAGUAGCAUAGUAGUAUGAUAGUUUUGAUAGUAGUAGCAACAUCAACAGUAACGGUAACAGUGGUAGCAAUGGUUUUGUAGCAGUGACAAUAGUAACAGCAGCAGCAGUAACUUAGCAAGAACAAUAUGUACGAAAAUCGUACGCAUUGGAUCGGUGAUUUGUUGGAUGAUAUUCAUCAUGUGACAGUUACAACCUAGGACGAUACGGCACUAGCUCCAGUUCAUAAAUAUAAUGUAGGCAUGUAUUCUAUAAAUAAUCAUACGUGCUUAUGAAAAGAACUUGUAUGACAUCUUUUGUCCUACCCUCCUGUGGCAGCGGGGUCCUAUUGGAAACUAAGGGAUAUUAAGGCCUCCUUUUAAUAGAGAACCAGAAUAAAGCAUUAACACACGUGAAUACAUGAACUCCUCAAACUACGGUCAUCACAGGGAAGUGUCCCGACUAUUGUCACUCCGGGGUUGCCGGAUCAUAACACGUAGUAGGUAACUAUAACUUGCAAGGUUGGAUCUAGAACAUAGAUAUAAUGGUGAUAACAUAAGUCAUAGCAACAUCAAUCAAGAACAUAAUGGAUACUAGGGAUGAAGCCCUAACAAAACUAACUCAAUUACAUGAUGAAUCUCAUCCAACUCCUCACUGACCAGCGAGCCUACGAAGGAAUUACUCACUCCUGGUGGGGAGCAUCAUGGAAUUGGCGAUGGAGAAGGGUUGGUGAUGACGAAGAUCGAAGAUCCCACUCUCUGGAGCCCCAAACGGACUCCAAAUCUAGCCUCCCGAUGAAGAACAGGAGAUGACGGCGGCUCCGUCUUGUGGAUCGUGAUAAUUCUUUCUCCCUGAUUUUUUUCUGGAAAAAUAGGAUUUUAUAGCGUCGGAUUCAGGGCCUGCGGGGCCACCAGGUGGGGACAACCCACCUGGGUGUGCUUGGAGGGGGGGGGGGGCUGGUGGGUUGUGCCCAUCCAGGUGCCCCCCUCCGAUUGUUCUUGGCUCCAGAAAUUCUCUGUAUUUGUAUAAAAAUUCCUCGCAAAGUUUUGUUCCAAUCCGAAAACUUUUAUUUCUGCACAAAAAAAACACCAUGGUAGUUUUGUUGGAAACAACGUCAGUCCGGGUUAGUUUCAUUCAAAUCAUGCAAAUUAGAGUCCAAAACAAGAGGAAAGUGUUAGGAAAAGUAGAUACGACGGAGACGUAUCAACUCCUCCAAGCUUAAACCUUUGCUUGUCCUUAAGCAAUUCAGUUGAUAAACUGAAAGUGAAAAAAAAUUAUGAACUCUUUUGCUCUUGUUUUCAUAAAUAAGCUUAAACAUCACCCAGUGUCGGUGUCGAAACCGGCGGAUCUCGGAUAGGGGGUUCCGAACUAUGCGUCUAGGCGGAUGGUAACAGGAGACAAGGGACACGAUGUUUACCCAGGUUCGGGCCCUCUCGAUGGAGGUAAAACCCUACUCCUGCUUGAUUAAUAUUGAUGAUAUGGGUAGUACAAGAGUAAAUCUACCACGAGAUCAAGGAGGCUAAACCCUAGAAGCUAGCCUAUGGUAUGAUUGUUGUUGUCCUACGGACUAAAACCCUCCGGUUUAUAUAGACACCGGAGAGGGUUAGGGUUACACAGAGUCGGUUACAAUGGUAGGAGACCUACAUAUCCGUAUCACCAAGCUUGCCUUCCACGCCAAGGAAAGUCCCUUCCGGACACGGGACGAAGUCUUCAAUCUUGUAUGUUCAUAGUCCGGGAGUCCGGCUGAAGGUAUCGUCCGGCUAUCCGGACACCCCCUAAUUCAGGACUCCCUCAGAGCCCCCGAACGAGGCUUCAAUGACGACGAGUCCGGCGCGCAAAUUGUCUUCGGCAUUGCAAGGCGGGUUCUCCUUCAAUUUCUGUGUACCUGCUGAAUAAUGUCCGGUUUCUUAUAAAUGUAGCGCUCCUCGGCUUCCACGCCCAAUAAUGGCCGUCUUCCACGUGUCAAAUGAAUACGAAAAGUCUGGGUGUUUUUACAUUCACACCCCCAGCCGCGUAAAUGAGCUGCCUAUUUAAAGGGACGGGGAUUUAGAUCCAAACCACACCUUCUCCUCUCCGCGAGUUUCAUCAGAGCGCAUCCGACAAAGGACCGUUCCAUCAUGGCCAGCGGUCGCAGCUCCUCCUCUCGCCCUUCCAGCCCUCAUCCUGGAGAUUGGGAGAGAUGCUCCGUCCCGCACAUCGAGCUAGUGUCGCUUCGGACCAAAGGGAUUUCUUCCUCCUGCCUAUAUGGUCCCGGUUCGAGCCGGACUUGCCACCUAUAAUGGCGGAGAGCAAGCGGAGAACGCCCCCAAUCCCUCCAAAGGAGAGCGGGUAUGCCUUGUCCCUUAUUUAAUAAGAGGGCUCGGAUUUCCAAUUCAUCCAUUUCUCCGGGGGCUCCUGGAGUUCUACGGCCUCCAGCUGCACAACCUCAUGCCUGUCUCCGUAUUGCAUAUUGCGGGCUUCGUAGCCCUUUGCGAGUUGUUUUUGGGUGUUGAGGCUCAUUUCGCGCUGUGGAAGAGGCUAUUUUGCCUUGUGCCCUGUUCUUAGGAGGGGUCAAUAUAUCAAGUGGGCGGAGCCAAAGUGUGGUGUAUCGCCAGGACCGGAUAUCUAUCCGGAACCCCAAAGAAGGCGUCCGAGGACUGGCCUUCAGAAUGGUUUUAUAUAGAGGACGUCCCGUUGCCGGAUCCUGUUCGGAUCGGCCUCCCUGAGUUCAACAGCGCUCCCCUGAAGAAACGUCUAAGCUGGCACCCACGGAGCCCUCAGAGAGAAAGUGACAAGGACGUUCUUUACCUGAUGGGCCGGAUAAGAUUAUUAGCUCAUUCCGGACUAACCAUGAUCGGAGUCAUGGCCGCAUGCAUCAUGCGAGGGGUGCAACCGCUUCAGUACAGAGGCCACCCCAUGUGGGACUUCAACGGGGAGGAUGAUGCCACCCGUCACGGCCGUAAGGGGCCGGACUCGGCUACCGCUCUAGUAAAGAUCUUGUCCGCUUUGUACAAGGGAGAAGAGGAGGAAUUUCUCCGCGUCAACCCACAGGGUGGAUUUACCAUGUACAAUCCCCCAAGUUGGGUAAGUGGGCAAUUUUACUUGCCCGUCUGUUUUGUAUUCCCAUCAUUAAAUAUAUAGUCUAACGACUUCAACGCAGGAACUGCGCCAGGAAGUAAAGGACAUAAACAGCCCGCCUCCACAGCCUGAGGACCCAGAGUUGUCCCUCGAUCCGGCCUCCGAAGAGGAUCCGGACUUAUCCAUGGAGUUAAUUGAUGGGGUGUUUUAUCAAUUGAGCAAGGACAAUGCCUUGGUGGCCAUUAAGGCCGAUUACCCGGGGCUGCUCCCGGCCUCCCAGGUAACUGAGACCGAAGUCCUAGCACCUCAAAAAGGGAUCCGCCCUCGCGUGUUUUUCAGUUUCCUGACAACAACCGUGUUUUGUAGGGGAGGUUCUUGAGACGGGAGGCCGAGCCUGCGGUGACUAGCCAACGAGGGGCCACAGGGCCCCGUGGGAUGAAAAGAAGUGCAGUCCGGACUGAGGCACCGGCGCAGAGGUAUAGCGCGCCUUCUUAUUCCCAGGUGUUAUUCCUUCAAGGCAUAUUAACACUCGUGCUCUUUUCAGGACAAAAAGACCCCGCCGGACUAUAUCCAGAGAGGCUGCCAAUCGCGCCUCCACCAGCCAGGAUCCAAAGCCUGGUCCGGAGACGGAGGCGAACACGAGGCGCGCACCGGACGCUCCUCCAACAGAUGAUGCGGACAGGCUGUCCGCCACUAAUUCCGAGGUGGAGAGUGCCAUGAACCACAGGCGUCGCCGGACAGUUCUUCGCGACGCUUGUUUCUCCCAAGAGGCAUUGGACGCCUUCAAUUCGGGAGAUGCGUACCUUCGUGCCGCUCAAAAUGGUCUAGCCAGAGCCACGGAGCAAUAUGUAAAAGACAUACGGGUGAGAAAAUUUAAUGGUUAUAUAUAUCAGUAGCCCCCGAGACUUGAAACAGUUAGAAGAACUGAUUUAAGGAUCAUUCAUAAUGCAGGUUCUUGCGGAAAAGAAUACCCAACUGUCCCAGGAGCUAGAAGAGUGCAAAGCCCAACUUGAGGCCGCACUAGCCGCGACAGGGGAGCCCAAGGAGACCCCCUCUGGUAAUAUGUGCUUCAAAAAGAGAAGUAUUUUGUGAAGUGCGGCGUAUGUGCAAAUCUGACGAAUGAAAUUGCAGAUGGCGCCGGAUUAGAUCCGGAAAAGCAACAAAUCCUACGCCAGCUAAAGGCUGGUGAGAGCGUGCUGACAAAGGUGAGGCGGGAGAAGAACGAUCUCCAAUAUGCCAACACCAAGCUGGGCGUUGAACUGAAAGAUGUUUGUGCCCAGUUGUCAGACUCCGCUAAGGAGAAUCAGCGGCUUCGACGCGGCAUAUUUAGUAAGUGCUUAAACGAACUUUGAAUAAAGAGUUCGACAAGGAAGUCGACUAACGGAGUAAUGUCUGUAGGUAUGCUAACAGGUCGUCCUGCAGAGGAGAUGCCCGGUUCUAUGGGUGACCUUCUUCUUGAGCUCUUGCAACUGCACGAGCGAGUUCAACAGGUGAUGCAGGGCGUCGCCCAGGCCUUGUGGCCAUCCAUCUCCAUGCCCGAAGGACUUGGAGAGGUUGCAGAGAAGCUGAAGGGAGCGCGGCGGCGCUUCCGAUUGUGGAAGAUAUCGGCCUGCCGUCAAGGCGCUAGGGAGGCCUGGGCCAUGGUGAAGACGCGGUACACGAAGGCUGACCCAAACCACAUGGCCGAGGUCGGACCUGUGGGGCCCGAUGGGAAGGAGAUCCCUGUAAGCUUAGUAUACGGCCAAGUAGAAUUGCCCGCAAAGUAUUCCCAGCAGGACUGUAAGCUAGACAGCAUGUUAGAUGGUAUUGAAGAGGAAUACAAUUAGUCAUAAUGACUAUGUAAUUUUAAUUGACAUGUGUAAUGCCUUCUAGCCGGAUUGUAGAUCGUUUUUCAUGGCCGACCUUUUUGCUUCGACCUCGGGACCUGACGGUCCGGAGUGUGUCCGAAUACCCUUGCGGUUAUAUAAGAACCGGGGUAUGCAUGGAGACCAGGCGUAGGGGUCAUUAGUGCUUGAACAGACAAGUGCCCGACUAGUUAUGUUAUAUUACAUGGUUAGUAAGAAACAUCUUCCAGGGAGAAUAGUUCCGUUAGGGGUUCCUUUCCCUGGGAGGCAUGCCCUAAAGUGCAUGUCCAUUCUGCGAAAAGAGACGCAGGAAAAAACAUCUGGGGGCGCAUAGAUAAAUAAGUGAAAAAAAUCAUCUUUAGUUCACCGACCGAAUAUUCCCUUAAGGACGCUAGCUUUCGGCUUCACCCAGUCUGAGGUACACAUCGGGCUGACCCGGCAGUAACAAUCGCAGAGGUGCUCCCUUUACCACCUAGCCGAACAAUCGGAAACAUAGGGCUAAGCACAGGAGCCAGGCAACCCAGCUUGGCUAAAACUUAAGUCAUAUCGAUACAUAUGAUGGUGAAUAAAAGGUACAUGCGGAAGUGUGACACAUGUGUUGGGCAUGAAGCCCGUAUAAGCUUCUGUUCAAAGAAGCCCCCAGGUUUAGUGAGCGCGGAUAGCGCGUCACUUGAUGAGCCUUUAAAGGCUAUAAGAGAAAGGAGGGGGAGAAGGAGAAAAUGGAAGACAGAAAAUAUAAAAAAUGGACAGAGGAAGGAGACGAACAUAGAAUCCGGCGCUAGGCAUAGAAUCUUCGGAGACGGGCUGCGUUCCAUGGGUUCGGCUCGAGUCGGUUAUCCGAUGCAUCUCACAGGCGGUACGUUCCACCAGUCAGGACUUGGUCAAUUAUGAAGGGACCUUCCCACUUGGGCUGGAGUUUGUCCUUUUUCUUGUCCGGCAGGCGUAGAACUAGUUCGCCAACAUUGUAAUUUUUGGCCCGUACUUCUCUGCUUUGAUAUCUUCGAGCCUGCUGUUGAUAGAAUGCGGAACGGGCUUUUGCCACGUCACGCUCCUCCUCCAAGGCGUCCAAACUGUCCUGCCGAUCGAGCUCGGCUUCUCUUUCUUCGUACAUGUGCACUCAAGGUGAGUCAUGAAUUAUAUCGCAGGGCAAAACUGCUUCUGCGCCGUACACCAUGAAGAAUGGUGUGUAUCCGGUGGUGCGAUUCGGCGUGGUCCGCAGCCCCCAGAGUACGGAGUCGAGCUCCUCUACCCAGUGCGUGUUAGAUUCCUUAAGGGACCGCACUAAUCUGGGUUUGAUGCCGCUCAUGAUAACACCAUUUGCGUGUUCGACCUGUCCGUUAGUUUGUGGGUGAUAGACGGAAGCAGAAUCGAGCUUGAUGCCCAUGUUUUUGCACCAGAGUUUUACCUCAUCGACCGUAAAGUUCGUACCGUUAUCAGUGAUGAUGCUGUGGGGGACGCCGUAACGGUGUACGACCCCGGAUAUAAAGUCUAUCACUGGUACAGAUUCGGCCGUCUUAAUAGGCUUGGCCUCUAUCCAUUUGGUGAACUUAUCCACCAUGACCAGUAAGUAUUUUUUCUUGUGGGUUCCGCCUUUAAGGGGUCCAACCAUGUCAAGCCCCCAGACCGCGAAGGGCCAAGUGAUGGGGAUAGUUUGGAGGGCGGUGGGUGGCAUAUGGCUUUGGUUUGGCAAAAGCUGGCAACCGACGCAUCGUUGGACUAAGUCCUGAGCGUCUGCCCGGGCCGUUGGCCAAUAAAAGCCUGUACGGAAAGCCUUGCUUACGAGGGACCAAGCUGCGGUGUGAUGACCACCGAGUCCGGCAUGAAUUUCAGCCAGCAAGUUCCGCCCAUCCUCCUCAGAGAUGCACCUUUGAAGGACUCCGGUAGUGCUUUUCUUAUAAAGCUCUCCCUCAUGGACUUUAUAGGCUUUAGAUCGCCGCACUAUGCAGCGUGCCUCAUUUUGGUCUUCUGGGAGUUCCUGCCUAGUAAGAUAGGCUAGGAAUGGUUCUGUCCACGGGGCGAUGACUGCCAUUAUUACGUGGGCUGAAUAUGUGACUUCAUUGGCAGAGUCUCCAAUUAUGUCAGUGUUGGCUAACGUAGCAGAAAUUCAAAAUUUUCCUACGUGUCACCAAGAUCUAUCUAUGCAGAAACCAGCAACGAGGGGAAGGAGAGUGCAUCUACAUACCCUUGUAGAUCGCUAAGCGGAAGCGUUCAAGAGAACGGGGUUGAAGGAGUCGUACUCGUCGUGAUCCAAAUCACCGAUGAUCCUAGUGCCGAACGGACGGCACCUCCGCGUUCAACACACGUACAGCCCGGUGACGUAUCCCACGCCUUGAUCCAGCAAGGAGAGAGGGAGAGGUUGAGGAAGACUCCAUCCAGCAGCAGCACAACGGCGUGGUGGUGGUGGAGGAGCGUGGCAAUCCUGCAGGGCUUCGCCAAGCACCACGGGAGAGGAGGAAGGAGAGAUGCAGGGCUGCAUCAUAUAGAGGAGAGGAACUCGCGUCUUAUGAGCAGCCCAAACCUCAACUAUAUAUAGGGGAAGGGGAGGGGCUGCGCCCCCUUUAGGGUUUCCACCCCUAGGGGUGGCGGCCAGCCUAGAUCCCAUCUAAGGGAGGCGGCCAAGGGGGAGGGGGAGAGGGAGGCGCACCAGGAUGGGCCUUAGGGCCCAUCUGCCCUAGGGUUUGCCCCCUUCUCCUCUCCCUUGCGCCUUGGGCCCUUGUGGGGGGGCGCACCAGCCCACCUGGGGCUGGUCCCCUUCCACACUUGGCCCAUGAAGCCCUCCGGGGCUGGUGGCCCCACUUGGUGGACCCCCGGGACCCUCCCGGUGGUCCCGGUACGUUACCGAUAAACCCCGAAACUUUUCCGGUGACCAAAACAGGACUUCCCAUAUAUAAAUCUUUACCUCCGGACCAUUCGGGAACUCCUCAUGACGUCCGGGAUCUCAUCCGGGACUCCUAACAACAUUCGGUAACCACAUACAAACUUCCUUUAUAACCCCAGCGUCAUCGAACCUUAAGUGUGUAGACCCUACGGGUUCGGGAGACAUGCAUACAUGACCGAGACGUUCUCCGGUCAAUAACCAACAGCGGGAUCUGGAUACCCAUGUUGGCUCCCACAUGUUCCACGAUGAUCUCAUCGGAUGAACCACGAUGGCAAGGACUUAAUCAAUCCCGUAUACAAUUCCCUUUGUCUAUCUGUACGAUACUCGCCCGAGAUUCGAUCGUCGGUAUCCCGAUACCUUGUUCAAUCUUGUUACCGGCAAGUCUCUUUACUCGUUCCGUAACACAUCAUCCCAUGAUCAACUCCUUGAUCACAUUGUGCACAUUAUGAUGAUGUCCUACCGAGUGGGCCCAGAGAUACCUCUCCGUCACACGGAGUGACAAAUCCCAGUCUCGAUUCGUGCCAACCCAACAGACACUUUCAGAGAUACCCGUAGUGUACCUUUAUAGCCACCCAGUUACGUUGUGACGUUUGGCACACCCAAAGCACUCCUACGGUAACCGGGAGUUGCACAAUCUCAUGGUCUAAGGAAAUGAUACUUGACAUUAGAAAAGCUUUAGCAUACGAACUACUUAGGAUUGGGUCUUGUCCAUCACAUCAUUCUCCUAAUGAUGUGAUCCCGUUAUCAACGACAUCCAAUGUCCAUGGUCAGGAAACCGUAACCAUCUAUUGAUCAACGAGCUAGUCAACUAGAGGCUUACUAGGGACAUGGUGUUGUCUAUGUAUCCACACAUGUAUCUGAGUUUCCUAUCAAUACAAUUCUAACAUGGAUAAUAAACGAUUAUCAUGAACAAGGAAAUAUAAUAAUAAUCAAUUUAUUAUUGCCUCUAGGGCAUAUUUCCAACAGUCUCCCACUUGCACUAGAGUCAAUAAUCCAGUUCACAUCGCUAUGUGACUAACACUCAAGGUCACAUGCCCAUGUGACUAACACCCAAAGAGUUUACUAGAGUCAAUAAUCUAGUUCACAUUUACCAUGUGAUUAACACUCGAUGAGUUCUGGGUUUGAUCAUGUUAUGCUUGUGAGAGAGGUUAUAGUCAACGGGUCUGAACCUUUCAGAUCCGUGUGUGCUUUACAAAUCUCUAUGUCAUCUCCUAGAUGCAGCUACCACGCUCUAUUUGGAGCUAUUCCAAAUAGCUGUUCUACUAUACGAAUCCAGUUUACUACUCAGAAUAAUCUGGAUUAGUGUCAAAGUUUGCAUCGGUGUAACCCUUUACGAUGAACUCUUUUACCACCUCCAUAAUCGAGAAAAUUCCUUAGUCCACUAGUUACUAAGGAUAACUUUGACCGCUGUCCUGUGAUCCAUUCUUGGAUCACUCUUGUACCCCUUGACUGACUCAUGGCAAGGCACACUUCAGGUGCGGUACAUAGCAUAGCAUACUGUAGAGCCUAUGUCUUAAGCAUAGGGGACGACCUUCGUUCUUUCUCUCUAUUCUGCCGUGGUCGAGCUUUAAGUCUUAACUUCAUACCUUACAACUCAGGCAAGAACUCCUUCUUUGACUGAUCCAUCUUGAACACCUUCAAGAUCAUGUCAAGGAAUGUGCUCAUUUGUAAGUACCAUUAAGUGUUUUGAUCUAUCCUUAUAGAUCUUGAUGCUCAAUGUUCAAACAGCUUAAUCCAGGCUUUCCAUUGAAAAAACACUUUCCAAAUAACCCUAUAUGCUUUCCAGAAAUUCUACGUCAUUUCUGAUCAACAAUAUGUCAACAACAUAUAUUCAUCAGAAAUUCUAUAGUGCUCCCACUCACUUCUUUGGAAAUACAAGUUUCUCAUAAACUUCGUAUUCACCCAAAAUCUUUGAUCAUCUCAUCAAAGCAUACAUUCCAACUCGAGAUGCUUACUCCAGUCCUUAGAAGGAUUGCUGGAGCUUUGCAUACUUAUUAGCAUAUUUCAGGAUUGACAAAACCUUCCGGUUGUAUCACAUACAACCUUUCCUCAAAAAUCGUCGAGGAAACAAUGUUUUGACAUCCUAUCUGCAAGAUUUCAUAAAUGAUGCAGUAAUUGCUAAUAUAAUUCCAACAGACUCUUAGCAUCGCUAUGAGUGAGAAAGUCUCAUCGUAGUCAACUCCUUGAACUUGUCGGAAAACAUCUUAAUGACAAGUCGAGCUUUCUUAAUGGUGAUACUUACCAUCAUUGUCCGUCUUCCUUUUAAAAUCCAUAUGUACCUAACAGCCUUACGACCAUCAAGUAGUUCUUCCAAAGUCUACACUUUGUUUUCACAUAUGGAUCCUCUCUCGGAUUAUAUGGCCUUGAGCCAUUUUGGAAUCCAUGCCCACCAUCGCUCCUCCAUAGCUCGUAGGUUCAUCGUUGUCUAGCAACAUGACUUCCAAGACAGGAUUACGUACCAUUCUGAAGCAGUACACAUCCUUGUCAUCCCACGAGGUUUGGUAGUGACUUGAUCUGAAGUUUCAUGAUCACUAUCAUAAGCUUCCACUUCAAUUGGUGUAGGUGCCACAGGAACAACUCCCUGUGCCCUGCCACACACUAGUUGAAGAGAUGGUUCAAUAACCUCAUCAAGUCUCCACCAUCCUCCCACUCAAUUCUUUCGAGAGAAACUUUUCCUCGAGAAAGGACCCGAUUCUAGUAACAAUCCCUUAUUGCUUUCGAAUCUGAGACAGGAGGUAUACCCAACCGUUUUGGGUGUCCUAUGAAGAUGUAUUUAUCCGCUUUGGGUUCGAGCUUAUCGGCCUGAAACUUUUUCACAUAAGCGUCGCAGCCCCAAACUUUUAAGAAAUGACAGCUUAGGUUUCUCUAAACCAUAGUUCAUACGGUGUCAUCUCAUCAGAAUUACGUGGUGCCCUAUUUAAAGUGAAUGUGGUUGUCUCUAAUGCCUAACCCAUAAACUAUUGUGGUAAUUCGAUAAGAGACAUCAUGGUAUGCAUCAUAUCCAAUAGGGUGCAGUUAUGAUGUUCGGACACACCAUCACACUAUGGUGUUCCAGGCUGUAUCAGUUGUGAAACAAUUUCCACAAUGUCUUAAUUCUGUGCCAAACUCGUAAUUCAGAUAUUCAUCUCUAUGAUCAUAUCAUAGAUAUUUUAUCCUCUUGUCACGAUGAUCUUUCAACUUCACCCUGAAAUUACUUGAACCUUUCAAUAAUUCAGACUCGUGAUUCAUCAAGUAAAUAUACUCAACAUCUACUCAAAUCAUCUAUGAAGUAAGAACAUAACGAUAUCCACUACAUGCCUCAGCACUCAUUGGACUGCACACAUCAAAAUGUAUUACUUCCAACAAGUUGCUUUCUAGUUCCAUUUUACUGAAACUGAGGCUUUCAGUCAUCUUGCCCAUGUGGUAUGAUUUGCAUGUCUCAAGUGAUUCAAAAUCAAGUGAGUCCAAAUGGUCCAUUUGCAUGGAGUUUCUUCAUGCAUAUACACCAAUAGACAUGGUUCGCAUGUCUCAAACUUUUCAAAAACGAGUGAUCCCAAAGAUCCAUCAACAUGGAGCUUCUUCAUGCGUUUUAUACCGAUAUGACUUACGUGGCAGUGCCACAAGUAGGUGGUACUAUCAUUACUAUCUUAUAUCUUUUGGCAUGAACAUGUGUAUCACUACGAUCGAGAUUCAAUAAACCAUUCAUUUUAGGUGCAAGACCAUUGAAGGUAUUAUUCAAAUGAACAGAGUAACCAUUAUUCUCCUUAAAUGAAUAGCCGUAUUGCGAUAGACAUAAUCCAAUCAUGUCUAUGCUCAACGCAAACAGCAAAUAACAAUUAUUUAGGUUUAACACCAAUCUCGAUGGUAGAGGGAGCGUGCGAUGCUUGAUCAUAUCAACAUUGGAAACACUUCCAACACAUAUCGUCAGCUCACCUUUAGCUAGUCUCCGUUUAUUCCGUAGCUUUUAUUUCAAGUUACAAACACUUAGCAACCGAACCGGUAUCUAAUACCCUGGUGCUACUAGGAGUACCAGUAAAGUACACAUUAACACAAUGUAUAUCCAAUAUACUUCUAUCGACCUUGCCAGCCUUCUCUUCUACCAAGUAUCUAGGGUAAUUCUGCUCCAGUGGCUGUUCCCCUUAUUACAGAAGCACUUAGUCUCGGGUUUGGGUUCAACCUUGGGUUUCUUCACUAGAGCAGCAGCUGAUUUGCCGUUUCAUGAAGUAUCCCUUCUUGCCCUUGCCCUUCUUGAAACUAGUGGUUUCACCAACCAUCAACAAUUGAUGCUCCUUCUUGAUUUCUACUUUUGUGGUGUCAAACAUCGCGAAUAUCUCAAGGAUCAUCAUAUAUGUCCCUGAUAUAUUAUAGUUCAUCACGAAGCUCUAGCAGCUUGGUGGUAAUGACUUCGGAGAAACAUCACUUUCUCAUCUGGAAGAUCAACUCCCACUCGAUUCAAAUGAUUGUUGUACUCAGACAAUCUGAGCACAAGCUCAACAAUUGAGCUUUUCUCCCUUAGUUUGCAGGCUAAGAAAAUCGUCAGAGGUCUUAUACCUCUUGACGUGGGCACGAGCCUGAAAUCCAAAUUUCAGCCCUCGAAACAUCUCAUAUGCUUCGCGGCGUUUCAAAACGUCUUCGGUGCCUCAACUCUAAACCGUUUAACUAAACUAUCACGUAGUUAUCAAAAUGUGUAUGUCAGAUGUUCGCAACAUCCACAGACAACGUUCGAGGUUCAGCACAUUGAGUGGUGCAUUAAGGACAUAAGCCUUCUAUGAAGCAAUGAGGACAAUCCUCAGUUUACGGACCUAGUCCGCAUAAUUGCUACUAUCAACUUUCAACUAAUUUUUUUCUCUCUAGGAACAUAUCUAAACAGUAGAACUAAAGUGCGAGCUAUGACAUAAUUUGCAAAAUCCUUUUGACUAUGUUGAGGAUAAACAAGUUGAUCUUAUGAACUUCCACUCAGAUAGAUAUCCCUCUAGUCAUCUAAGUGAUUACAUGAUCCGAGUCAACUAGGCCGUGUCCGAUCAUCACGUGAGACGGACUAGUCAUCAUCGGUGAACAUCUUCAUGUUGAUCGUAUCUACCAUACGACUCAUGCUCGACCUUUCGGUCUCUUGUGUUCCGAGGCCAUGUCUGUACAUGCUAGGCUCGUCAAGUCAACCUAAGUGUUUCGGGUGUGUAAAUCUGUCUUACACCCGUUGUAUGUGAACGUUAGAAUCUAUCACACCCGAUCAUCACGUGGUGCUUCGAAACGACGAACUUUCGCAACGGUGCACAGUUAGGGGGAACACUUUCUUGAAAUUUUAAUGAGGGAUCAUCUUAUUUACUACCGUCGUUCUAAGCAAAUAAGAUGUAUAAACAUGAUAAACAUCACUUGCAAUCAAAUAGUGACAUGAUAUGGCCAAUAUCAUAGUGCUCCUUUUGAUCUCCAUCUUCGGGGCUCCAUGAUCAUCAUCACCGGCAUGACACCAUGAUCUCCAUCAUCAUGAUCUCCAUCAUCGUGUCUUCAUGAUGUUGUCUCGCCAACUAUUACUUCUACUACUACAGCUAACGGUUAGCAAUAAAGUAAAGUAAUUACAUGGCGUUGUUUAAUGACAAGCAGGUCAUAUAAUAAAUUAAGAAACUCCUAUGGCUCCUGCCGGUUGUCAUACUCAUCGACAUGCAAGUCGUGAUUCCUAUUACAAGAACAUGAUCAAUCUCAUACAUCACAUAUCAUUCAUCACAUUCUUCUUGGCCAUAUCACAUCACAUAGCAUACCCUGCAAAAACAAGUUAGACGUCCUCUAAUUGUUGUUUGCAUGUUUUACAUGGCUGCUAUGGGUUUCUAGCAAGAACGUUUCUUACCUAGGCAAAACCACAACGUGAUAUGCCAAUUGCUAUUUACCCUUCAUAAGGACCCUUUUCAUCGAAUCCGAUCCGACUAAAGUGGGAGAGACAAACACCCGCCAGCCACCUUAUGCAACUAGUGCAUGUUUGUCGGUGGAACCGGUCUCACGUAAGCGUACGUGUAAGGUUGGUCUGGGCCGCUUCAUCCCACAAUGCCGCCGAAUCAAGAUUGGACUAGUAACGGUAAGCAUAUUGAACAAAAUCAACGCCCACAACUACUUUGUGUUCUACUCGUGCAUAGAAUCUACGCAAUAGACCUAGCUCAUGAUGCCACUGUUGGGUAACGUAGCAGAAAUUCAAAAUUUUCCUACGUGUCACCAAGAUCUAUCUAUGGAGAAACCAGCAACGAGGGGAAGGAGGGUGCAUCUACAUACCCUUGUAGAUCGCUAAGCGGAAGCGUUCAAGAGAACGGGGUUGAAGGAGUCGUACUCGUCGUGAUCCAAAUCACCGAUGAUCCUAGUGCCGAACGGACGGCACCUCCGCGUUCAACACACGUACAGCCCGGUGACGUAUCCCACGCCUUGAUCCAGCAAGGAGAGAGGGAGAGGUUGAGGAAGACUCCAUUCAGCAGCAGCACAACGGCGUGAUGGUGGUGGAGGAGCGUGGCAAUCCUGCAGGGCUUCGCCAAGCACCACGGGAGAGGAGGAAGGAGAGAUGCAGGGCUGCGUCAUAUAGAGGAGAGGAACUCGCGUCUUAUGAGCAGCCCAAACCUCAACUAUAUAUAGGGGAAGGGGAGGGGCUGCGCCCCCUUUAGGGUUUCCACCCCUAGGGGUGGCGGCCAGCCUAGAUCCCAUCUAAGGGAGGCAGCCAAGGGGGAGGGGGAGAGGGAGGCGCACCAGGAUGGGCCUUAGGGCCCAUCUGCCCUAGGGUUUGCCCCCUUCUCCUCUCCCUUGCGCCUUGGGCCCUUGUGGGGGGGGGGGGAGCACCAGCCCACCUGGGGCUGGUCCCCUUCCACACUUGGCCCAUGAAGCCCUCCGGGGCUGGUGGCCCCACUUGGUGGACCCCCGGGACCCUCCCGGUGGUCCCGGUACGUUACCGAUAAACCCCGAAACUUUUCCGGUGACCAAAAUAGGACUUCCCAUAUAUAAAUCUUUACCUCCGGACCAUUCCGGAACUCCUCGUGACGUCCGGGAUCUCACCCGGGACUCCGAACAACAUUCGGUAACCACAUACAAACUUCCUUUAUAACCCUAGAGUCAUCGAACCUUAAGUGUGUAGACCCUAUGGGUUCGGGAGACAUGCAGACAUGACCGAGACGUUCUCCGGUCAAUAACCAACAGCGGGAUCUGGAUACCCAUGUUGGCUCCCACAUGUUCCACGAUGAUCUCAUCGGAUGAACCACGAUGUCAAGGACUUAAUCUAUCCCGUAUACAAUUCCCUUUGUCUAUCGGUACGAUACUCGCCCGAGAUUCGAUCGUCGGUAUCCCGAUACCUUGUUCAAUCUCAUUACCGGCAAGUCUCUUUACUCGUUCCGUAACACAUCAUCCCGUGAUAAACUCCUUGAUCACAUUGUGCACAUUAUGAUGAUGUCCUACCGAGUGGGCCCAGAGAUACCUCUCCGUCACACGGAGUGACAAAUCCCAGUCUCGAUUCGUGCCAACCCAACAGACACUUUCGAAGAUACCCGUAGUGUACCUUUAUAGCCACCCAGUUACGUUGUGACGUUUGGCACACCCAAAGCACUCCUACGGUAACCGGGAGUUGCACAAUCUCAUGGUCUAAGGAAAUGAUACUUGACAUUAGAAAAGCUUUAGCAUACGAACUACACGAUCUAGUGCUAUGCUUAGGAUUGCGUCUUUUCCAUCACAUCAUUCUCCUAAUGAUGUGAUCCCGUUAUCAACGACAUCCAAUGUCCAUGGUCAGGAAACCGUAACCAUCUAUUGAUCAACGAGCUAGUCAACUAGAGGCUUACUAGGGACAUGGUGUUGUCUAUGUAUCCACACAUGUAUCUGAGUUUCCUAUCAAUACAAUUCUAGCAUGGAUAAUAAACGAUUAUCAUGAACAAGGAAAUAUAAUAAUAAUCAAUUUAUUAUUGCCUCUAGGGCAUAUUUCCAACAGUCAGAUUGUUCGGUGUUGGGCAGUGCGGUUGAGUCCGGGCUGUUAUUGCCGGGUUCCCCUUCCCAUACUACGGACGGCUUGAAUAGCCUUUCCAAGAAGAUGUUGGGAGGGACUGCAUCGCGUUUUGCGCCGAUGCGUGCCAGGACAUCCGCCGCCUGAUUAUUUUCCCGGGCUAUAUGGUGAAAUUCGAGCCCUUCGAACCGAGCUGACAUUUUUAAGACGACGUUGCGAUAAGCUGCCAUUUUUGGAUCCUUGGCAUCGAAGUCUCUGUUUAUUUGGGAUAUUGCAAGGUUCGAAUCCCCUCGCACUUCUAGGCGUUGAAUACCCAUGGAUACUGCCAUCUAGAGACCAUGUAAGAGGGCCUCGUAUUCGGCUGCAUUGUUGGAGUCUGUGUACAUAAUCUGGAGUACAUAUUGAACUAUGUCUCCUGUGGGGGACGUCAAAACGACGCCAGCCCCCAGACCGGCCAACAUUUUGGAGCCGUAGAAAUGCAUGAUCCAGUUUUAAUAUGUGCCGUACUCUUUAGGGAGUUCAGCCUCCGUCCAUUCUGUGACGAAGUCAGCCAAAACUUGCGACUUGAUAGCUCGCCGUGGCUUAUAAGUUAUGUCGAACGAGAGGAGCUCGAUGGCCCAUUUCGCAAUCCGGCCCGUUGCGUCGCGGUUGUUUAUAAUAUCGUUUAGUGGUACUUCUGAGGCUACUGUUAUUGAACACUCUUGAAAGUAGUGUCGCAGCUUCCGGGAUGCCAUGAAUACCGCGUACGCAAUCUUUUGAUAAUGCGGGUACCUUGAUUUGCACGGAGUGAGGACAGUGGCCACAUAAUAGACCGGCUUCUGAAGGGGGAAUUUGUGUCCGUCCGUUUCUCGUUCGACGACGAGCACUGCGCUCACAACCUGAUGGGUUGCUGCAAUGUAUAAUAGCAUUGGUUCGCCAAUGUUUGGCGCGGCCAGGACUGGGUUUGUUGCCAAUAUGGCUUUUAUUUUGUCGAGUCCGGCCGUGGCUGCGUCCGUCCACUCGAAGUGUUCGGUGCGCCGAAGGAGGCGGUAAAGGGGGAGUGCCUUUUCUCCCAAGCGGGAGAUAAAGCGGCUUAGAGCCGCCACGCAUCCGGUUUACUUUUGUAUUUGUUUGAGGUCCUUUGGGAUAUCCAAUUGUGACAGAGCUCGGAUCUUGGCUGGAUUUGCUUCAAUUCCUCUACCGAAUACAAUGAAGCCCAAGAGCUUACCGGCUGGAACGCCGAAAACGCAUUUUUCCGGGUUGAGCUUGAUGUCGUAUGUUCGAAGGUUAUCAAAUGUGAGCCUCAAGUCGUCUACUAGGGAUUCAACAUGUCUUGUUUUUACGACCACAUCAUCUACGUAUGCCUCCACUGUUUUGCCGAUCUGGUUUGCCAGACAUGUCUGAAUCAUGCGCUGAUAUGUUGUUUUGAGCCCGAAGGGCAUUGUGUUGAAGCAGAAUGGGCCGUAUGGUGUGAUGAAUGCCGUUGCGGCUUGGUCUGAUUCUGCCAUCUUGAUUUGAUGGUAGCCGGAAUAUGCGUCGAGCAAGCACAACAAAUCGUGUCCUACAGUAGCGUUGAUAAUUUGAUCGAUGCGAGGGAGGGGGAAGGGAUCCUUUGGGCAAGCCUUAUUAAGGUCUUUAAAAUCAACGCACAGGCGCUAGGAUUUGUCCUUCUUUGGUACCAUCACCAGGUUUGCUAGCCAGUUCGGAUGUUUUAUAUCUCUGAUGGAUCCGGCCUCUAAUAGCUUGGCUAGCUCCUCUCCCAUGGCCUGUCUCUUAGGUUCGGAAAAACGCCGAAGAGCCUGUUUGACAGGUUUGAAUCCUUUAGGAUAUUUAAGCUGUGUUCGGCCAGCCUGCGUGGGAUUCCUGGCAUGUCUGAAGGGUGCCAGGCGAAAAUGUCCCAGUUCUCACGUAGGAACUCUCGUAGUGCGGCGUCUACAUCAGGGUUUAAUUGUGCACCGAUGGAAGCUGUUUUAUUGGGGUCCGUUGGAUGGACCUGGAAUUUGACUAUUUCGUCCGCUGGUUUAAAUGAGGUGGACUUGGAUAUUUUGUCGAGUAUCACAUCAUCCCUGUUCACCGUGGAGCGCAGCGCAGUCAGCUCCUCAGCCGCUAGGGCUUCGGAUAGUGCCUCAAGGGCCAGUGCGACUGUCUUAUUUUAGGCGCGGAGUGCUAUGUCCAGAUCACUAGCGAGAGUGAUGAUUCCGUUCGGCCCGGGCAUCUUGAGUUUCAUGUACCCAUAAUGGGGUAUUGCUUGGAAGAUUGUGAACGCUUCCCGCCCUAGCAGAGCAUGGUAUCCGCUACUGAACGGGACCACUUGGAACGUGACCUCCUUGGACCUGUAAUUAUCCGGCGUGCCGAACACCACAUCUAGUGUGAUUUUUCCUGUACAGCACGCUUCCUGACUGGGGAUUAUUCCUCUAAAGGUUGUGCUGCUUCGCUCAAUGCGGUUCCAGUCUAUUUCCAUUUUUUGAAGGGUUUCCUCAUAAAUGAGGUUCAAUCCGCUGCCUCCAUCCAUGAGUACCUUGGUAAGGCGAAAGCCGUCCACUAUUGGACUGAGGACCAAUGUGGCUGGUGCUCGGGCUGUUCGGAAUUUAGGUUCAUCACUGGCAUUAAAAGUAAUAGCCGUGUCACUCCAUGGGUUUAUUGUUGCUACUUGGUAGACUUCGGCAAGGCUGCGGAGUGUUCUUUUUCGCAUAUUAUUUGAUGCGGAAGUCUCGAAGACUGUUAAUACCGUACCGGUAUCCCUGGGGUGGCUUUCUAUGGCCUCCGGAAUUAGGAGAUCUUUGCCAAUUUUGGCCACCUGCCGGAGUAUCCAACAUGCUCUAAGGCUGUGAGUUGGUGUGGCGCCCUCUGUACUGUGAAUUUUACAGGGUCGAUUAAGCCAUCCUUCCAAUACGCUUCCAUGCCCUGUAGAGGAUUUUUGCUUUUUGGUGUUUAACCCGGGUGUCUGGCGAAGAUGCACCCUUUUAUUUUGGACUGGGUUUGUAUUCAGGGCCGGAUUGUCCCAAAAUUUUAUUUUGGUUUUCCAGUCGCUAUCCAUCGCAUAGUACUUUCGUACUAUGGACGCCAAGUCAGCGAAGCAUGUAAUAUCACGGCGACUUAUGGCGUUGAGGAUUCCCUUGUCCGUGCAAUUAUUGCAGAAGAAUGAGAUUGCGUCUUCCUCGCGGCAGUCCUUGAUCCUGUUCAUAGCCAGGAGGAAUCUGGCCCAGUAAUGAUGUACUGUUUCUUCGGGCUUUUGCCUAAUUUGGGAUAGAUCGCUUAUGUUCGGGUGGGUGGGUGGAAUUAAAUCCGAAAACUGACCCGAUAUGAGACUCAGAGGCCAAGGAGUUUCCGAACUCGGAAGUUUGGAUUCUUGGAUGUUGUCCAAUGAGUCUAGCCCGUCGCCUGACUCUAAGUUCAGGUCUUGAGUGAUGUCCUCCCUUCCGCGGGUAUCCGGCUUGGAGGGAUCGGGAAUCCAGACGUAACUAGUCCUUAAGAUAGAUGAAGGGUCGCCGCACUGUCCCUCUACCAUAGCAAUGUGAUGGGUGACCUGGGGAGAGUUAAUCUCUCUUAGAUCGGGUUUAGGCCCAAUCUGGUCAUAAUCCGUGGCGACUCCCAGGGCGGCGAUGCGAUCCAAGAGCUCGUUUAUGGAAGAGAGCUCCAUUGGAUCUAACUGCUCGGCGAGUUCCGAGCUGACAUGAAUACUGCUUUUGAUGACCCGAGAGGUCAUCGUCGGCGCAGCAGCCGAACAGGCGGUCAUAAGAAAACCGCCUAGCCGGAGAGUUUGGCCGACAGCCAAAGCUCCCUUAGCAACGGUUCCGUCUUUAAAGACGGGAUGAGGCAUCCUUCCUGAUGGCGACGGCACAGAGGAACUCUCAAUGAAAGCACCAAUGUCGGUGUCAAAACCGGCGGAUCUCGGGUAGGGGGUCCCGAACUGUGCGUCUAGGCGGAUGGUAACAGGAGACAAGGGACACGAUGUUUACCCAGGUUCGGGCCCUCUCGAUGGAGGUAAAACCCUACUCCUGCUUGAUUAAUAUUGAUGAUAUGGGUAGUACAAGAGUAGAUCUACCACGAGAUCAAGGAGGCUAAACCCUAGAAGCUAGCCUAUGGUAUGAUUGUUGUUGUCCUACGGACUAAAACCCUUCGGUUUAUAUAGACACCAGAGAGGGUUAGGGUUACACAGAGUCGGUUACAAUGGUAGGAGAUCUACAUAUCCGUACCACCAAGCUUGCCUUCCACGCCAAGGAAAGUCCCUUCCGGACAUGGGACGAAGUCUUCAAUCUUGUAUCUUCAUAGUCCGGGAGUCCGGCUGAAGGUAUAGUCCGGCUAUCCAGACACCCCCUAAUCCAGGACUCCCUCACCCAGGUUUUCAGCCAAGAUUAUAACUAACCAUGUCGACAAUAACUCUUAAACAUUAUAUUAACUCUUAUGAGUAGAGGCCGCGGGAAAAAGCCUAGUAGUAGCGCGGAUAAAAGACUAGUAGUAGUGCGGGUGCCCGUGCUACUACUACGGCGCUACAGCUAACUCGUAGUAGUAGCGCAGGUGCCACCCGCGCUACUAGUACGUGUGUUAGUAAUAGCGCGGAUUCUACACACGCUACUAUUAACUAUCUGUAGCGCCUGUCUGUGACCCGCGCUACUACUAUUAAUUUCAAAAACCAAAAAAAAAAUCUCGACCCCGUGCAUGUUGUCAAUGGUGUCAUUGAUUCGAUCCAGCGACAACAAGGGUUGCCGGAGGUGUGGACGGGUAGUGGCAGACCAGAUCCGGCGAUGGCUGUUGGAGAUGGCCGGAUCCAGUGUAGAGCAAGACGACGGUGUGAGGAUCCUCUUCGCGGUCAAGGCGGAGAACUCCUGGUUGGCCAUGUCGACGACCUGUGCAGGCAUGGGCAUGGGAGGUGAGUAAAACCAAAGGGAGAGGGAGAGGAGAGGGAGAGGGAAAAAGAGAAACAAGGGAGAAAGGAGGGAGAUGGAGGGUGUAUCGGGGCUGCAUGGAGGCGAGGAGGAAGACGGGCGAGCUCUUGGAUGCCAGCGAUGCGAGGAGGAAGACGUUGGGUGCCAUGGAGGAGGAGAUAUUCUUGGGCAGGAGCACCAUGGAGAGAGGGGGAAAGUGAGGGAGAGAGGAGGAAAGUGAGAGAGGGGGAAAGUGAGGGAGAGAGGAGGGAUUCGGCCGAGGAUAUGGAGAUUUCACCUACCUCGUACUUAGUAGUAGCGAGGGGUAUAAAACCGCGCUACUACUAUCAACAUAGUAGUAGCAUGGGUUUGUACCCCUCGCUACUACUAUGGCAUGUCCCGGGAGGGCACGGUAGACACCGCUUAGUAGUAGCGAGGGUGAAAAACCCGCGCUAAUAGUAUCAACUUAGUAGUAGCGAGGGGUAAAAACCCGUGCUACUAGUAAGUAGCAGUAGCGACGGUUAUAAACCCGUGCUACUAGUAAGCGUCUGCCUAUAAGCUUUUCCCUAGUAGUGGCAUAUCUAUGACAUAAUCAACUAGCGAGCAAUAAUAAGAUAUCUCAAACAACAACACGUUGUGAAAACAACCAUGAUAUAAUAUGACAAUAGUGGUAUCUCGCUAGCCCUUUCUAAGACCGCAAAACAUAAAUGUAGAGCACCUCCAAAGUUCAAGCAGCGACCAAACAUUGUAAUUCAUGGUAGAAAAGAUCUAGUCAUGAUGCACCCAACAUUAGCAACACAUAGUGCAUCAGCAUGUCAACAGUGCUCUCUGGAUUUGGCACUUAUUUUAGAAGGUGAUGACACAACAUAAAAGUAAAUAGAUAGUCCCUUCGCAGAGGGAAGCAGUGAUUUGCAGCGGUGCCAGAGCUCAAAAUUUAAAAAUAGAGGUAAAUGAAAUUUUGGGAAAUUGAUACGUCUCCAACGUAUCUAUAAUUUUUUAUUGUUCCAUGCUAUAUUAUAUUAUGUUUUGGAUGUUUAAUGGGCUUAUUUAUACACUUUUAUAUUAUUUUUGGGACUAACCUAUUAACCGGAGGCCCAGCCCAUAUUGUUGUUUUUGUUCCUAUUUCAGUGUUUCGCAAAAAAAAGAAUAUCAAACGGAAUGAAACCUUCGGGAACAUGAUUUUUAAAACAAACGUGAUUCAGAGGACUUGGAGUCCAUGUCAAGCAGUCAAUGAGGAGGGCACGAGGCAGGGGGCGCUCCUACCUCCCCCUAGGCGCGCCCUCCACCCUCAUGGGGCCCACGUUGCUCCACCGACGUACUUCUUCCUCCUAUAAUACCUACGUACCCCCAAACCAUCAGGGGCAUCCACGAAAACCUAAUUCCACCGCCGCAACCUUCUGUACACGUGAGAUCCCAUCUUGGGGCCUUUUCCGGCGUCCUGCCGAAGGGGGCAUUGAUCACGGAGGGCUUCUACAUCAACACCAUAGCCACUCCGAUGAUGUGUGAGUAGUUUACCUCAGACUUUCGGGUCCAUAGUUAUUAGCUAGAUGGCUUCUUCUCUCUCUUUGGAUCUCAAUACAAAGUUCUCCACGAUUCUCGUGGAGAUCUAUUCGAUGUAAUCUUCUUUUGCGGUGUGUUUGUUGGGACCGAUGAAUUGUGGAUUUAUGAUCAAGUUUAUCUAUGAACAAUAUUUGAAUAUCCUCUGAAUUCUUUUAUGUAUGAUUGGUUAUCUUUGCAAGUCUCUUCGAAUUAUCAGUUUGGUUUGGCCUACUAGAUUGAUCUUUCUUGCAAUGGGAGAAGUGCCUAGCUUUGGGUUCAAUCUUAUGGUGUCGUUUCCCAGUGACAGCAGGGGCAGCAAGGCACGUAUUGUAUUGUUGCCAUCGAGGAUAACAAGAUGGGGUUUAUAUCAUAUUGCAUGAGUUUAUCUCUCUACAUCAUGUCAUCUUGCUUAAAGCGUUACUCUGUUCUUAUGAACUUAAUACUCUAGAUGCAUGCUGGGUAGCGAUCGAUGUGUGGAGUAAUAGUAGUAGAUGCAGGCAGGAGUCGGUCUACUUGUCACGGACAUGAUGCAUAUAUACAUGAUCAUACCUAGAUAUUCUCAUAACUAUGCUCAAUUCUAUCAAUUGCUCGACAGUAAUUUUUUCACCCACCGUAAUACUUAUGCUUUUGAGAGAAGCCACUAAUGAAACAUAUGGCCCCCGGGUCUAUUUUCCAUCAUAUUAAUCUUCCAACACAUAGCCUUUUCUAUUGCCCUUUUAUUUUACUUUGCAUCUCUAUUUCUCUUUAUCAUAGAAAUACUAAAAAUAUUAUCUUAUCAUAUCUAUCAGAUCUCACUCUCGUUAGUGACCGUGAAGGGAUUGACAACCCCUUUAUCGCGUUGGUUGCGAGGUUCUUAUUUGUUUUGUGUAGGUGCGUGGGACUUGAGCGUGGCCUCCUACUGGAUUGAUACCUUUGUUCUCAAAACUGAGGGAAAUACUUACACUACUUUGCUGCAUCACCUUUUCCUCUUCAAGGGAAAAACCAACGCAGUGCUCAAGAGGUAGCAAGAAAGAUUUCUGGCGCCGUUGCCGGGAGUUUACGCAAAAGUCAACAUACCAAGUACCCAUCACAAACUCUUAUCCCUUGCAUUACAUUAUUUGCCAUUUGCCUCUCGUUUUCCUCUCCCUCACUUCACCCUUGCCGUUUUGUUCGCCCUCUCUUCCGCUCACCUUUCCUUCGCCAUGUCGGAACCAAAAAGAGUUGGGGGUUCUCUCCCGAGUUUUAGUACUUUGGACGAUCCUUCUAUUCUAUCUAAACUCAUAAAUAAUGUCAUGGUAAAACCUGCCGGAGUUGUCAAUGAGAGUCUUAAUAAUUUUGAUGAAGAUGAUUCCGGAAUUUUUCGUUAUUUACUCGAUGAAUCUUUGAAAGAUGCUUGGGAUAGACUGUUAAGGAUCCGGGCUAACUAUGUGCCCCAAUACCAAAUUGAAGUUUACUUGAAGAGCUUUUAUGUUGCCCUACCUUCUUCGUUUAAGCAUGUCUUAGAUUCUAUAUUUGAAGAAGACUUUCUUGAAGGGGAUGCCGUAGAUACUUAUGAAAAGAUGAAAACCAUAUUUGGGCACCCCAUGAAUGAGAAAAUUAAAUCUACAUCUCUUUUGCUCUCCAGUCCUUGGUUCAUGUAAAUCUGAAUCUAGCCGGCACUACCCCUUCACAAGCUGUUGCAUAGUCUUCAGCGAGGUGCGGCGCAACUUCCGUGUGAGGGGAAAUGAACUUCUCCACGAAUACCUUCUCUCUCACCUUGAAAGCGGUAUAGUAGUAGCCUGGGUUGCACUUGAGCAAUCCAUUUUCCAUGAGAAACUUUACAACGUAGUACCUGGGUUUCAUCCAGCCCUCCAGCUGUAAUUGAUAAUUACUGACCGUUGAGCAAUGUAGGUAGGUUCCAACCCCACCUCAGAGAUGAGGAAAUCAGACCUGCGCUGCAGUAAUUCCUUUGACUUCCUCAGCAGACACGGAGCGUUACGCACAACAAUGCUCACCUCAGCGUCUGACCACCUGAACAUCUUCUUCAAGUAGGCCACAUUGGCGGCGAUCUUCUCCUCGCUGAGGAAUCUGACAGCAUCCAACGUGUGUCUGAACAUCCUGAGCCACGAGGCAUGCCAAGGCCUUCGGCGCAUGCCACCAUCGCCCUGACGCGUUCUGGCUUGUUGCUCAGGACACCCCGCGCGCGGAGGGACAAUUUGGUGAUAUCGCAAUCAUCUAGCCCGCAUUGCCGUAGGAGCGCGACGUUGGGUUUGACCAUCCCGUCGAUGUCAGCGCCGGCGAGGUAGCCUUGCUUGAGCACCCGGAAGAGGUUCUCCGAGGAGCUGAAUAGGAGCAGGUAGUACCGCAACUUGGAAACAAUGGACCUGGAACAGAAGUGGGCGAAGGAGAGCGCGACGAGGCGCACGAUCUCAGUACGCGAGAGGCCGAGGCCGGUGAGCCCACGACGACGGGGGCUAGAGUUUUCUCUACUUUGGCGCAGAGGAACAACGGGUCUUUGGCGACGAGGGCGGCGACGUCGGUGCCGGAGAGGCCGAGGCCGGCGAGGAAGGAAAGGACGGCGUCGGGCUUGGACGGAGACUUGAGGUGGGAGAGCUUGGCGGAGGCCUUGAGUGCCUGGGGUCGGGUGAGGCCGCAGGUGGAGACGAGGUAGUCGUCGACGACGAAGCUAGGGUUUGGGGAAACGCCGGGCGCGGCGGCCGCGGAGAGGGGGCGGUGGAGAGGGGGGCCUGAGAGGUGGCGGGGGAAGAGAGGAGCCGCACGAGGAUGCAGCCACGGAGGCGGAGCAUGGCGGCGGUGGCGGCGGAGAGAUUGAUUCCCUAUGGAGGCGGGUGCGAAUGGGAUGGUGCUUCGGAGGCGGGGAUGCGGCGCCCUGGCGAGGCAGGUGAGGAACGGAGGAAGAGAACAGGAGGAGAGAUCGAAGAGGAUGGCACUUCGGCGGCGCCGCCGAAGAGAUUUUCCGGUCCGCUGUGAGUGGAGAGGAAAAAUGGGAAAUGGCAGGUGCGAUGCGAAUGGAGGCUCCGCAAAUUGCAAUAUCACUGAAUCCCAGGGGUCUUUACGUCUUUCAAAAAUACAAACUACAUUUAAAAAACAUACAUAAUACAUUGAGCCUCAUGGAAACUUUCAUAUACACAUGGAAAAUAGAUAUCCCCUCCGUUCAAUAACGUAGUGCGUAUAGAUUUUCGAAAGUCAGACUUUGCAAAAUAUGAUCAAAUUUAUAAAGAAAACUACUUAUACCUACAUUAUCAAAUAUAUAAAAUAUGAACCUACGUCUUGUCUUAUGAUGAACCUAAUGAUAUAUGUUUGACAUCUAGAUGUAAAUGUUUUUCUUCACAAACUUGGUCAAAUUUUGUUAGGUUUGACUUUUCAAAAAAUCUGUAUGCAAUCAUUAUGCAAUCGGUAUAAUAAGGAAAAUGGCUUUGAGAGAUAAGAUUAUAUCACAAAAUAAGUUAUUAUACGACUUGUACUUAUCUUGUGAUUUUUUUGUAGGUAUAGUACUUCCUCCAUUUUUAUUUACUCUGCAUAUUAGAGUUGACUGAAGUCGAACUUCGUAAAGUUUGACCAAGUUUAUAAAAAAUAUAUAAAUAUUUACCCUAACAAAUCUAUAUGAUACGAAAGUACGUUCAAUAAUGAAUAUAAUGGUAUUGAUUUGUUAUUGUACAAGUUAAUAUUUUUGACUAUAAACUUUGUCAAAAUUUAUAAAGCUUGACUUUGACUAAAACUAAUAUGGAGAGUAAAUAAAAACGAAGGGAGUAAAUGGCUAUGCUUUUUUUAUAGGUAGUAAAUGGUUACUUUUUUCCGAUUUUUUUAAAUGGUUAUGCUUGCUAAUCAAUCCAAUCCAAAUUAUAUGUCGCUCAAACAGAUGUAUCUAAUUAAUAUGGAUUGGAUGGAGCAGAAAAGUUCAUACGGAUAUAUAUUUUCUCAAAACUUGAAAGUAUGAUUUCUACAAGUAAAAAAAAUCAUAUGUGAACUAUGUUUGUUUUUAGCAUUUUGUGUGUGUUCAUGUUUUUCUCUCUCUCUCUCUCUCUCUCUCUUCAUUCUAGCCUCUUUUCCCCCACCUCACUCUGUUCUCACAUUGACAUUGUUGCCUUUUUCAACGGACUCCUACUUAUCUUUUCUAAAUUUUGCAAGGUGAGAAUUGAGAAGGUUAUUAUUCUUUAGUUUUAUGUGUAUAGCUAUAUUAGAGUUGAGAUCAAUUGCAUCGUGUCCACAAAUCCUCUAUAACACUAAGCUCCCUAGUUUUAAAAAGCCCACACUCAAUUAAGGUCUCUAAUUAGAAUUGGAUCAUCCAAUUUUGAUCGGGUCUACAAUUUCUCAAAGCUUCACAAUCCAAUUCUUUUAUACUAUACAAUAUGCUUCCUAAUUUUUAAGGCCUCAUAAUUAUUAAGGUAUUUAAUAUAGGUUGAUCAUCCAAUUUUGACUGGGUCAACAAUUUCUCAACCUCUUCAAUUGAAUUUUUUUAAUUCACUAUGUUCCAAAAUUUUGAAUCUCUUUCAUUCAAUUGAGGUAUUCAAUUUUGAUUUGGUUGACGAUUUUGACUGGGCCAAUGAUUUUCAAAUCAAUCAGCUGCAACUGACCUAUAAAAACAUAUCAAUCCCAUGCACCCCUCCCACCACAUAGAAAAAAGAAGCGUCACCAUAUGAUAUUGUAGUAUCAAUAUAGUACAUGCAACCACCGAUGCAGAAAUUUUCCCACAUAAAUAUAGGUUGGUUAGCGGAUGACACAGUCAUCUCCCCACCCGCCUAACUUAAUAUUCCAUCAGUUACUCCCUCCGUUCCACAAUGUAGCGCAUAUAAAUUUUUCUAGAAGUCAAACUUUAUAAACUUUGACCAAGUUUGUAGAGAAAAUCAUAUACAUCUAGAAUACCAAAUACGUGUGCUUAGAUACAUCACAACACAUACUUUCAUAUUAUAUACAUUUGGUAUUGUAGAUAUAAAUAGUUUUCUCUAUAAAAUUGGUCAAAGUUUAUAAAGUUUGACUUUGUAGAAAAUCUAUAUGCGCUACAUUAUGGAACGGAGGGAGUAUAAAAUAUGAAGGGUAUUAAUUUUGUAGAAAGUCAAACUUCUUUAACUUUGACCAACUUCAGAGCAAAAAUAUCAACAUCCACAAUAUUAAACAAAAAAAGUAUGGAAAUUCAUUUCGUGAUGAAUCUAAAAAUACUGAUUUAAUCUUAUGAAUUUUGAUAUAUUUCUCUACAAAUUUGAUGAAACUUAAAAGGUUUGAUUUUAAAAAAUAUAAUACACAUUAUAUUGGGAAACAGAGUGAUUAGUUUUUUAAGAUAUCCAACAACAUGAACGGCGCAGCAAAGCGCGCACAACCCUUCUAGUUAGUAGUAUAUCUAAGAACAAUUGGCAUCCCAUUGAUGAUCGAUCAACCUUCUUAGUCCAGCUAGUGGCUGGUCGUCUAGAGAUCUAUAUGGAGUCAGUUGAGAUGCGAUGGUCAGCCAAGUGGGUUGAUCAAUGCUCCUCUUAAAAUUCGAAGCCUAAAGUAGAUGUGCUACUCGAGAAAUAAAAAGACCAACGUAGACCGUACUAACAUCUAAUAUUUGACGUCACAUUUGAAUUUGAUACUAUUCACAUCCAUAAUUGUCCCUUUGCUCAUCGAAUUAUGAAUCUUAUAUAAAUGUUGUAAAUGAUCAAUUUUAUAAUAAUUUUAGGGUUGUAGUUCGGUGCAUAGGUAGCUCAGAGGAACCAUAGCCGUCACUUCCUCUCCAAAAAAGCUUAGGGUUCCUAUGCGGCCAUGCCUCCCGUGGCGCCGCUGCCGGUCCACCUCGUCUCCGGUGGCCCUAGGGCCAUGGGGACACGGUGGAUCUCAUCCCUUACCAGCGGGAGGGCUUCGUUUUUAAAUAUUUCUUUGAAUUUUGUUAGGGUUGUGUCCUGCUAAAGAGGAUAAGACAACGACGGCUUCGUGAAGAUUGAAUAAGGUUCUUCCCGCCUAGCCCCCGUCUCGAUGGCGCAUCUAACAUCGUCGGAGAGUGUGUGGAGGUGUGUCUCCGGCGGAUCUCACAGGAUUCGGUAGGUGGUUUGUCUUUGGUGGAUCUACUCGGACCCGGUCUUCGUUCGUCUACAUUUGUCUGUCAUUAGAUUGGAUCCUUCCGAUCUAUGGGUCUCAUCAUCGGCGGGGGUUACUAUUCUAUUGCGCUGGUCCUACGAGGCCUUAGCACGACAAGUUCCCGGCUGUCUACUACAAUAAGUUCUGCCCGGCUCCGGCGAGGGAAGGGCGAUGACAACGGCGCGUCUUCGGCUCGCUUUAAUGCUUGUAGUCUUUGCUAGAUGGUCUACGGAUGGAUGCGAUUUUUAUUAUUCCUAUUGUUCAUUGUAUUGUCAUGAUUGAAAAUAAAAAGAUCGAAAGAUUUCUCACAGAUAAGAAGCUCAGAAGAACCAUUAAAAGGACAAUCGUGUGGUCUCCCUAGAUGGUCCUUGGAGGGAGCGAUGUAAUUUCAUUUCCUUUUUAUUGCAUUCUCAUGAAUCUACGGGAUACACAGAUUUGGAAUAGCCAUGCGUUAUAUAGGUUUGGAAAAGAUGAAUGGGCAGGACAAAGCCCAUCAAGGUCCAGAGUUGAACAUGGUAUUUUUCUCUUCCCUGAUCUUGUGUGGUUGUUACAUUACAACGAGGACUAGAUGCAUUCAUUAACCUGAGGAGACUAUAUACGGUGAUUAUAUCGUGGUUAUCAUAUUUACCUAUUUUACAAAGAAUGAUCGGAUAUAAUUUACUGGUACAAUCCAUUGUGUGCCUUUCACGCUUCCGUCAGUUUAGUUUCCUCACACUUUAAGUAGUCUUGUGAAGUUGUGAUCAGGUAGCUCGCAAUCCAAAUUUCUGUAAUGAAUAUUUUUUUUUGGUCCAACGAGUAAAACGUAGACUUGGUGACCCUCAAAAGGGAUGAUAUUUUACAUAACGAGUAAAUCAUGAUGUCCUUAGAUAUUUCUUAUGAGUAUUUCUUCUUUUCUGCGGAAAAGUUUCUUGUCUUCCGAACUCUUGGAUGUGGGCAGAACUCUUGAUGAGCCGAGGCACCCGCAGCAUGCCAUUGUGAGUCAAGUUUGCCAUUGUUUGAUGGGAAGUUUUCAAGUGCUACAUGUAGAAGGACGCUAUAGUGGCUGCAAUCUUGCUGCUAAGUGACACGUACUGUCACCCUGUUUCUAAUGAAAAAAACUGAAGAACAAUGACUCAUUUAAACAUUGUUCAAUUUUGUGGUUCAUGAUGUUGGAAAUAUGCCCUAGAGGCAAUAAUAAAAGUAUUAUUAUAUUUCAAUGUUCAUGAUAAAUGUCUUUUAUUCAUGCUAUAACUGUAUUAUCCGGAAAUCGUAAUACACGUGUGAAUACUUAGACCACAAUAUGUCCCUGGUGAGCCUCUAGUUGACUAGCUCGUUGUGAUCAACAGAUAGUCAUGGUUUCUUGACUAUGGACAUUGGAUGUCGUUGAUAACGGGAUCACAUCAUUAGGAGAAUGAUGUGAUGGACAAGACCCAAUCCUAAGCAUAGCAUAAAAGAUCGUGUAGUUCGUUUUGCUAGAGCUUUGCCAAUGUCAAGUAUCUCUUCCUUCGACCAUGAGAUCGUGUAACUCCCGGAUACCGUAAGAGUGCCUUGGGUGUAUCAAACGUCACAACGUAACUGGGUGACUAUAAAGGUGCAUUACAGGUAUCUCCGAAAGUAUCUGUUGGGUUGACACGGAUCGAGACUGGGAUUUGUCACUCCGUAUGACGGAGAGGUAUCUCUGGGCCCACUCGGUAAUGCAUCAUCAUAAUGAGCUCAAUGUGACCAAGGUGUUGGACACGGGAUCAUGCAUUACGGUACGAGUAAAGUGACUUGCCGGUAACGAGACUGAACAAGGUAUUGGGAUACCGACGAUCGAGUCUCGGGCAAGUAACGUACUGAUUGACAAAGGGAAUUGUAUACAGGGUUUGAUUGAAUCCUUGACAUCGUGGUUCAUCCGAUGACAACAUCGAGGAGCAUGUGGGAGCCAUCAUGGGUAUCCAGAUCCCGCUGUUGGUUAUUGACCUGAGAGCAUCUCGGUCAUGUCUGCAUGUCUCCCGAACCCGUAGGGUCUACACACUUAAGGUUCGGUGACGCUAGGGUUAUUAGGAAGACUAGUAUGUGACUACCGAAUAUUGUUCGGAGUUCCGGAUGGGAUCCUGGACGUCACGAGGAGCUCCGGAAGGGUCCGAAGGUAAAGAUUUAUAUAUGGGAAGUUGUCAAACGGGCACCGGGAAGUUUCGGGGUCAUACCGGUAUUGUACCGGGGCCACCGGAAGGGUUCCGGGGGUCCACCGGGAGGGGCCACCCCUCCCGGGGGGGCACAUGGGCUGCGUGGGGCAGGGAGCCAGCCCCUGGUGGGCUGGGCGCACCCCCUCCCUUGGGCCCUUGCGCCUAGGGUUGAGGGGGGAACCCUAGAGGGGGCGCCCCCUUGGCUUGGGGGGCAAGCCACCCUCUCCCCCUCUCCCCUUGGCCGCCGCACCCCCCUAGAUGGGUUCUAGGGGGCCGGCCCCCUUCUCCCUUCCCCCAACAAAUAGAGGGGUGAGGGGAGGGCAGCCGCACCACCCUCCAAGGCGCAGCCCUCCCCUCCCCAACACCUCUCCUCCUCUGUUGUGUGCUUGGCGAAGCCCUGUCGGAGUACUGCCUCUCCACCAUCACCACGCCGUCGUGCUGCCGGUGGAGCUGUCUUCCUCAACCUCUCCUCCCCCCUUGCUGGAUCAAGAAGGAGGAGACGUCUCCCGUCCCGUACGUGUGUUGAACGCGGAGGUGCUGUCCGUUCAGCACUUGGUCAUCGGUGAUUCGAAUCACGUCGAGUACGAUUCCAUCAUCACCUUGCAAGCUUCCGCACGCGAUCUACAAGUGGUAUGUAGAUGCAAACUCACUCCCUUGACUCGUUGCUUAGAUGAACUCAUAGAUGGAUCUUGGUGAAACCGUAGGAAAAAUUUUAAUUUUCUGCAACGUUCCCCAACAGUGGCAUCAUGAGCCAGGUUUAUGCGUAGUUCUCUUUGCACGAGUAGAACACAAUUUUGUUGUGGGCGUGGAUUUUGUCAUCUUACUUGCCUCUACUAGUCUUUUCUUGCUCAACGGUAUUGUGGGAUGAAGCGGCCCGGACCAACCUUACACGUACGCUUACGUGAGACCGGUUCCACCGAGUGACAUGCACUAGUUGCAUAAGGUGGCUGGCGGGUGUCUGUCUCUCCCACUUUAGUUGGAGCGGAAUCGAUGAACAGGGCCCUUAUGAAGGGUAAAUAGAAGUUGACAAAAUCACGUUGUGGUGAUUCGUAGGUAAGAAAAUGUUCUUGCUAGAACCCAAUUGCAGCCACGUAAAAGAUGCAACAACAAUUAGAGGAUGUCUAACUUGUUUUUGCAGCGAUUGAUCAUGUGAUGUGAUAUGGCCAGAAGUUGUGAUGAAUGAUGAAUUGUGAUGUAUGAGAUCAUGUUCUUUGUAAUAGGAUUCACGACUUGCAUGUCGAUGAGUAUGACAACCGGCAGGAGCCAUAGGAGUUGUCUUUAUUUUUUGUAUGACCUGCAUGUCAUUGAAUAACGCCAUGUAAACUACUUUACUUUAUUGCUAAACGUUAGUCAUAGAAGUAGAAGUAGUCGUUGGCGUGACAACUUCAUGAAGACACGAUGAUGGAGAUCAUGAUGAUGGAGAUCAUGGUGUCAAGCCGGUGACAAGAUGAUCAUGGAGCCCCGAAGAUGAAGAUCAAUGGAGCUAUAUGAUAUUGGCCAUAUCAUGUCACAACUAUAUAAUUGCAUGUGAUGUUUAUUAUGUAUUAUGCAUCUUGUUUACUUAGGACGACGGUAGUAAAUAAGAUGAUCCCUUAUAAAAUUUCAAGAAGUGUUCUCCCCUAACUGUGCACCGUUGCUACAGUUCGUCGCUUCUAAGCAACACGUGAUGAUCGGGUGUGAUGGAUUCUUACGUUCACAUACAACGGGUGUAAGACAGUUUUACACAGCGAAAACACUUAGGGUUAACUUGACGAGCCUAGCAUGUGCAGACAUGGCCUCGGAACACGGAGACCGAAAGGUCGAACACGAAUCGUAUGGAAGAUACGAUCAACAUGAGAAUGUUCACCGACGAUGACUAGUCCGUCUCACGUGAUGAUCGGACACGGGCUAGUCGACUCGGAUCGUGUAACACUUAGAUGACUAGAGGGAUGUCUAAUCUAAGUGGGAGUUCAUAAUUUGAUUAGAACUUUAUUAUCAUGAACUUAGUCUAAAACCUUUGCAAAUAUGUCUUGUAGAUCAAUGGCCAACGCUAAUGUCAACAUGAACUUCAACGCGUUCCUAGAGAAAACCAAGCUGAAAGAUGAUGGCAGCAACUAUACGGACUGGGUCCGGAACCUGAGGAUCAUCCUCAUAGCUGCCAGGAAACAAUAUGUCCUAGAAGGACCGCUAGGUGACGCUCCCGUCGCAGAGAACCAAGACAUUAUGAAUGCUUGGCAGUCUCGUGCUGAUGAUUACUCCCUCGUUCAGUGCGGCAUGCUUUACAGCUUAGAACCGGGGCUCCAAAAGCGUUUUGAGCAUCACGGAGCAUAUGAGAUGUUCGAAGAGCUGAAACUAGUUUUCCAAGCUCAUGCCCGGGUCGAGAGAUAUGAUGUCUCCGACAAGUUCUACAGUUGUAAGAUGGAGGAAAAUAGUUCUGUCAGUGAGCACAUCCUGAAGAUGUCUGGGUUGCACAACCGUAUGACCCAGCUGAACAUUAACCUCCCAGAUGAGGCGGUCAUUGACAGAAUCCUCCAGUCGCUCCCACCAAGCUACAAGAGCUUUGUGAUGAACUACAACAUGCAGGGGAUGGAAAAGACCAUUCCUGAAGUGUUCUCGAUGCUGAAGUCAGCAGAGGCUGAAAUCAAGAAAGAACAUCAAGUGUUGAUGGUCAAUAAGACCACUAAGUUCAAGAAGGGCAAGGGUAAGAAGAACUUCAAGAAGGACGGCAAGGAGGUUGCCGCGCCUGGUAAGCCAGUUACCGGGAAGAAGUCAAAGAAUGGACCUAAGCCUGAGACUGAGUGUUUUUAUUGCAAGGGGAAGGGUCACUGGAAGCGGAACUGCCCCAAAUACUUAGCGGAUAAGAAGGCCGGCAACACCAAAGGUAUAUUUGAUAUACAUGUGAUUGAUGUGUACCUUACUAGUACUCGUAGUAACUCCUGGGUAUUUGAUACCAGUGCCGUUGCUCAUAUUUGUAACUCACAGCAGGAGCUGCGGAAUAAACGGAGACUGGCGAAGGACGAGGUGACGAUGCGCGUCGGGAAUGGUUCCAGAGUCGAUGUGAUCGCCGUCGGCACGCUGCCUCUACAUUUACCUACGGGAUUAGUUUUGAACCUGAAUAAUUGUUAUUUAGUGCCAAGUUUGAGCAUGAACAUUGUAUCUGGAUCUCGUUUAAUACGAGAUGGCUACUCAUUUAAGUCUGAGAAUAAUGGUUGUUCGAUUUAUAUGAGAGAUAUGUUUUAUGGUCAUGCUCCGAUGGUCAAUGGUUUAUUCUUAAUGAAUCUCGAGCGUAAUAUUACACAUGUUCAUAGUGUAGAUGCCAAAAGAUUUAAAGUUGAUAACGAUAGUCCCACAUACUUGUGGCACUGCCGCCUUAGUCACAUUGGUGUCAAGCGCAUGAAGAAGCUCCAUGCCGAUGGACUUUUAGAGUCUCUUGAUUAUGAAUCGUUUGACACGUGCGAACCAUGCCUCUUGGGCAAAAUGACCAAGACUCCGUUCUCCGGAACAAUGGAGCGAGCAACCAACUUGUUGGAAAUCAUACAUACCGAUGUGUGCGGUCCAAUGAGCGUUGAGGCUCGCGGAGGAUAUCGUUAUGUUCUCACUCUCACUGAUGACUUGAGUAGAUAUGGGUAUGUCUACUUAAUGAAACACAAGUCUGAGACCUUUGAAAAGUUCAAAGAAUUUCAGAAUGAGGUAGAGAAUCAACGUGACCGAAAGAUAAAAUUCUUACGAUCAGAUCGUGGAGGAGAAUACUUAAGUCACGAAUUUGGUACACACUUAAGGAAAUGUGGAAUCGUUUCACAACUCACGCCGCCUGGAACACCUCAGCGAAACGGUGUGUCCGAACGUCGUAAUCGCACUCUAUUGGAUAUGGUGCGGUCUAUGAUGUCUCUUACCGAUUUACCGCUAUCAUUUUGGGGAUACGCUCUAGAGACAGCUACAUUCACUUUAAAUAGGGCACCGUCUAAAUCCGUUGAGACGACACCGUAUGAAUUAUGGUUUGGAAAGAAACCUAAGAUGUCGUUUCUAAAAUUUUGGGGAUGCGAUGCUUAUGUCAAGAAACUUCAACCUGAAAAGCUCGAACCCAAGUCGGAAAAAUGCGUAUUCAUAGGAUACCCUAAGGAAACUGUCGGGUAUACCUUCUACUUAAGAUCCGAAGGCAAGAUCUUUGUUGCCAAGAACGGAUGCUUUCUGGAAAAAGAGUUUCUCUCGAAAGAAGUAAGUGGGAGGAAAGUAGAACUCGAUGAAGUACUACCUCUUGAGCGGGAAAGUGGCGCAGCGCAGGAAACCGUUUCUGUGAUGCCCACACCAACUGAAGAGGAAAACAAUGAUGAUGAUCAAGGUACUUCGGAUCAAGUUACUAUUGAACUUCGUAGGUCCACAAGGACACGUUCCGCACCAGAGUGGUACGGCAACCCUGUCCUGGAAAUCAUGUUGUUGGACAACAAUGAACCUUCGAACUAUGAAGAAGCGAUGGCGGGCCCGGAUUCCAACAAAUGGCUUGAAGCCAUGAAAUCCGAGAUAGAAUCCAUGUAUGAAAACAAAGUAUGGACUUUGACAGACUUGCCCGAUGAUCGGCGAGCGAUAGAAAACAAAUGGAUUUUUAAGAAGAAGACGGACGCGGAUGGUAAUGUUACAAUCUAUAAGGCUCGACUUGUCGCUAAGGGUUAUCGACAAGUUCAAGGGAUUGACUACGACGAGACUUUCUCUCCUGUAGCGAAGCUGAAGUCCGUUCGAAUCAUGCUAGCAAUUGCCGCAUACUAUGAUUAUGAGAUAUGGCAGAUGGACGUCAAAACAGCAUUCCUUAACGGGCAUCUUAAGGAAGAACUGUAUAUGAUGCAGCCGGAAGGUUUUGUCGAUCCUCGGAACGCUAACAAAGUAUGCAAGCUCCAGCGAUCCAUUUAUGGACUGGUGCAAGCAUCUCGGAGUUGGAACAUUCGCUUUGAUGAGAUGAUCAAAGCGUUUGGGUUUAUGCAGACUUAUGGAGAAGCCUGCGUUUACAAGAAAGUGAGUGGGAGCUCUGUAGCAUUUCUCAUAUUAUAUGUAGAUGACAUACUCUUGAUGGGAAACAAUAUAGAAUUUCUGGACAGCAUUAAGGCCUACUUGAAUAAGUGUUUUUCAAUGAAGGACCUUGGAGAAGCUGCUUAUAUAUUAGGCAUCAAGAUCUAUAGAGAUAGAUCGAGACGCCUCAUAGGUCUUUCACAAAGCACAUACCUUGAUAAGAUUUUGAAGAGGUUCAAAAUGGAUCAGUCCAAGAAGGGGUUCUUGCCUAUGUUACAAGGUGUGAGAUUGAGCUCGGCUCAGUCACCGACCACGGCAAAAGAUAAAGAAGAGAUGAGUGUCAUCCCCUAUGCUUCAGCCAUAGGAUCUAUUAUGUAUGCCAUGCUGUGUACCAGACCCGAUGUAAACCUUGCCGUAAGUUUGGUAGCAAGAUACCAAAGUAAUCCCGGCAAGGAACACUGGACAGCGGUCAAGAAUAUCCUGAAGUACCUGAAAAGGACGAAGGACAUGUUUCUCGUUUAUGGAGGAGACGAAGAGCUCGUCGUAAAGGGUUACGUCGACGCUAGCUUCGACUCAGAUCUGGAUGACUCUAAGUCACAAACCGGAUACGUGUAUAUGUUGAAUGGUGGAGCAGUAAGCUGGUGCAGCUGCAAGCUGAGCGUCGUGGCGGGAUCUACGUGUGAAGCGGAGUACAUGGCAGCCUCGGAGGCAGCGCAUGAAGCGAUUUGGGUGAAGGAGUUCAUCACCGACCUAGGAGUCAUACCCAAUGCGUCGGGGCCGAUCAAACUCUUCUGUGACAACACUGGAGCUAUUGCCCUCGCCAAGGAGCCCAGGUUUCACAAGAAGACCAGGCACAUCAAGCGUCGUUUCAACUCCAUCCGUGAAAAUGUUCAAGAUGGAGACAUAGAGAUUUGCAAAGUGCACACGGAUCUGAAUGUCGCAGAUCCGCUGACUAAACCUCUCUCGCGUGCAAAACAUGAUCAACACCAGAACUCUAUGGGUGUUCGAUUCAUCACAAUGUAACUAGAUUGGUGACUCUAGUGCAAGUGGGAGACUGUUGGAAAUAUGCCCUAGAGGCAAUAAUAAAAGUAUUAUUAUAUUUCAAUGUUCAUGAUAAAUGUCUUUUAUUCAUGCUAUAACUGUAUUAUCCGGAAAUCGUAAUACACGUGUGAAUACUUAGACCACAAUAUGUCCCUGGUGAGCCUCUAGUUGACUAGCUCGUUGUGAUCAACAGAUAGUCAUGGUUUCCUGACUAUGGACAUUGGAUGUCGUUGAUAACGGGAUCACAUCAUUAGGAGAAUGAUGUGAUGGACAAGACCCAAUCCUAAGCAUAGCAUAAAAGAUCGUGUAGUUCGUUUUGCUAGAGCUUUGCCAAUGUCAAGUAUCUCUUCCUUCGACCAUGAGAUCGUGUAACUCCCGGAUACCGUAAGAGUGCCUUGGGUGUAUCAAACGUCACAACAUAACUGGGUGACUAUAAAGGUGCUUACAGGUAUCUUCGAAAGUAUCUGUUGGGUUGACACGGAUCGAGACUGGGAUUUGUCACUCCGUAUGACGGAGAGGUAUCUCUGGGCCCACUCGGUAAUGCAUCAUCAUAAUGAGCUCAAUGUGACCAAGGUGUUGGACACGGGAUCAUGCAUUACGGUACGAGUAAAGUGACUUGCCGGUAAUGAGACUGAACAAGGUAUUGGGAUACCGACGAUCGAGUCUCGGGCAAGUAACGUACCGAUUGACAAAGGGAAUUGUAUACAGGGUUUGAUCGAAUCCUUGACAUCGUGGUUCAUCCGAUGACAACAUCGAGGAGCAUGUGGGAGCCAUCAUGGGUAUCCAGAUCCCGCUGUUGGUUAUUGACCUGAGAGCGUCUCGGUCAUGUCUGCAUGUCUCCCGAACCCGUAGGGUCUACACACUUAAGGUUCGGUGACGCUAGGGUUAUUAGGAAGACUAGUAUGUGACUACCGAAUGUUGUUCGGAGUCCCGGAUGGGAUCCUGGACGUCACGAGGAGCUCCGGAAGGGUCCGGAGGUAAAGAUUUAUAUAUGGGAAGUUGUCAAACGGGCACCGGGAAGUUUCGGGGUCAUACCGGUAUUGUACCUGGGCCACCGGAAGGGUUCCGGGGGUCCACCGGGAGGGGCCACCCCUCCCGGGGGGGCCACAUGGGCUGCGUGGGGCAGGGAGCCAGCCCCUGGUGGGUUGGGCGCACCCCCUCCUUUGGGCCCUUGCGCCUAGGGUUGAGGGGGGAACCCUAGAGGGGGCGCCCCCUUGGCUUGGGGGGCAAGCCACCCUCUCCCCCUCUCCCCUUGGCCGCCGCACCCCCCUAGAUGGGUUCUAGGGGGCCGGCCCCCUUCUCCCUUCCCCCAAUAAAUAGAGGGGUGAGGGGAGGGCAGCCGCACCACCCUCCAAGGCGCAGCCCUCCCCUCCCCAACACCUCUCCUCCUCCGUUGUGUGCUUGGCGAAGCCCUGUCGGAGUACUGCCUCUCCACCAUCACCACGCCGUCGUGCUGCCGGUGGAGCUGUCUUCCUCAACCUCUCCUUCCCCCUUGCUGGAUCAAGAAGGAGGAGACGUCUCCCGUCCCGUACGUGUGUUGAACGCGGAGGUGCUGUCCGUUCAGCACUUGGUCAUCGGUGAUUCGAAUCACGUCGAGUACGACUCCAUCAUCACCUUGCAAGCUUCCGCACGCGAUCUACAAGUGGUAUGUAGAUGCAAACUCACUCCCUUGACUCGUUGCUUAGAUGAACUCAUAGAUGGAUCUUGGUGAAACCGUAGGAAAAAUUUUAAUUUUCUGCAACGUUCCCCAACACAUGAGCCUUUUCUUCAAAGUUUACUUAAAAGUUGGGUUAUUAGGUAAAAAAUGGUUCCUUUCCUUUUGUGCUUGCAAUUUAUUGUCCUGACAAAAACACUUUUUAUUGCAGUGCUAAGAAAAUGCGUCUACUACUUGACUGAGCUAAAUACUCUUGAUAGCAAACCCUCUCUGGGCAUAUUCGUAGAUUCAAGGUGAGGAGACAUGCCAGCAUACAGACCAGCCUUAAAAAUAGUCAGAUAAACAUUGCAAGAUGUACAUACAUGGCACAUGUACGAUGUUCUAACAAGAGCAUAAAGUUGAUUGAUUCUUGAUAGCAUCACCUGAAUAUAUCACUCACGGAUUCAUGAAUGUUCCCCGUUGCAAUGCACGGCCAUUCACCUAGUAAAGGCAAUGAUUUGUUGGUAGUAGAGGCAUCUCAUGUUUCAAAGGGUUAAACCUUACCGUCGUGACCCGGCUCCAUGGCUGGGUCAAUCUUGCACCUCUGUUGGUGCCGAACCCUAGGCAAAUUCCCCCAAAUCUCUUGUUGUUUCUAUUGAUUGACCGAAUGUGAGGAGCGAUAGUAGAUCAAUAACUCUCGUAUAACCGAGGGAAAAAGAAAUGAAGAGAAGUUGGCGAAAGUAUCAAGUGGUACAUCUACUUUUUAUAAUAUCACAUGAAGCCGGCAAAAAGGAAAGCCGACCAACGAAGAAACUGCAUAGGGGACCUAUCAUGAGUGAACAUUGCGUGGGCGCCACUGGCCGCAUCUCAUCAUAUUGUUGUGUAGAAGAAGAAAUGACCGCCGAUGCUGCUGGUGCCUCCAUCUCUACGACCUUGCCGUCCAAGCCCGCAAUAGCAACAAACACGUAGCACUAGAGCACGGGAGGAGAGGUGAUCAGGGAAAUUCGUCUUUCUUGAUGGCAGGAUAAUUAGUGAUGGGCGACUCCACGCGACGCUGAUGUGAUUUCAGGCCACACUAAAGGAUGUCGGAGAAGGGGGCCGUAGGACGAACUCAACAACAUCGGUAGUGGGCUUGGUGGAUAUUGUGUCGAGGGCUCGGGGACGCACUCGGUGAAGGUGGUGGACCUCGGGGAGGGGGCCCUCAUACACGUGGAUGCAGGGGAAAAGAGGGUGCACGGGCUUGGAGGCAUUACUCAUCCACCUCUUCUGGCAAAGAGAGCUCAUCGGGGCCAACCGCGUGAAGGAGGAGCUUGAGGUAGCUUGGAGGAGGCGACGACGGCAGCCAGAUCCAUGUGGCAAGCCAGAGUGGAGGCAUCCCACAUGGGAGCAGUGAUUUCAGAGCCUAAGCUUAGAUGCACCUGCUAUUAUGUUUGUUCAUUGCUGCAUGGAGAUUCGGGAAAUGGGGCAUGAGGUUGCAUUGCUAGGGCGUGGAAAAUCCCCAAAACGAACUAUACAUGCAUGAAUAGUGCGAUACAUGUGGGUCUAUCAUGUAGCACACGAGGAGGGUUCGAACGAAGGACAAGCAGUGCCAUCUUGGUUGGAUUCUGAUCCAUGGCACCUAAUCGUCUGCAUUCAUCUAAGUCGUGGCUCACUUUGCUAGCCCGUGGUGUGACUUUGAAACUUUGAAUCCGAGUCAUGGCCUAAAGAUUUGUAUAGCUCCAGUUGGGGCCUGCGGUGUAGGAUCGUCAGUACGCACACCGAAUGUCAUCCACGACCGACAUCGGCCAACAGAUUGCUAGCUUACCAGACGCUACAAGAGGUAGCGUCCUUCGUGAAGUUUGUGUGCUUCAUCACCAACCAGGUCAUCCUAAGCCAUAAUGGACAACCCAUUCAUCUACGUAGUUGACUUCAACACUGGAGACGACUUCUCAUGGUCGUUGAUCAUGUCACACCUUGCUCACCAUGGCAACAAGCUGUUUCAUGUCACGUCACUUGCCACCACAUUAAUGCACCGCACGGAUACGCAUGCACCAACAGUCGUGCAUGGUGUCCGUCGGAGUUCGCGCGCGUCCCUAGGGUCUCCCAUUCCAGUACGAUGAGAAGGACCUCCUGGUCUGGGCUGGAAGUCACGUAAUGGUACCUACAACAAUCUCGAAAAGAGUAGAAGGCCUGGAUUUCAAGAGCAUCUGAGCUCGCACUUAGAAAUCUAUUUUUGUUCCCACGGUCCAUACAUAGAGAGAAACUAGAAAAGAAAACGCAAAACACGCAUACAUGCAUGCAUGCUUCCACAAAUGGGUUACCACAUACCUUUCUAGGAUUCUGGUGACCUCACAUUCAUUGUUGACCCCUUAUGACCUCACAUUCAUGGGAGAGAUUUCCUGAUCUCACAUUGUCUCUAUAAAAGUCUAUCACCUCUACGAAUCAUGUGUCUCCACCAUUUCAAAUCCUCCGCGCGCCUAACAUACCACUUGAGAAAUUACUAAUGGCCAACAGAAAGAAUGUCAUGGCCAUGUUAUUUCUCACCACCAUUGUGGCGGUGGCGGCCACAAGGCCAGCCGAGACCUAUGGCGUUGCGGAGGAGAACACAUUGAAGAUGGCUACCCCCAGCAGGAAAGGGGUUGACGCUACCUUAGCAACUACACGUGUUGUUGCCGCCGAGAAGUCCAUCAAGAAGGCUGAAAGCGUCACCACACCAGAAGAGGCCGCGGCUGCCAAGCAAGAUGGAGCAAAAUCUGCUUCUGCUGCAUUAAAGUACAAUGCCAUCUCUCAGCAGGCAAAUGGUAAAGGUUCUUCUACCUCCCUAGGCAGGAAAGAAGCAGCCAAUACUUUAGCCGCCGCACACUAUGCCGCCACCGAGAAGUCCAUCAAGAAGGCCGAAACCACCAAGACACCUGCAAAGGUCGUGGCUGCCAAGCGAGACGCAGCAAAGUCUGUUGAUGAUGCAUUAAAGUAUGGUGCCAUCUCUCGGAAAGCAGCUGGUACAAGUUCUUCUACCUCCCCCAAUAAGAAAGAAGGCACCACUGAUGCUGCUAAGAUGUUCACCAAGAAGGCUGAAACCGCUACCACACCUGAAGAGGCCGCGGCUGCCAAGCAAGCUGCAGCCAAGUCUACCGCUGCUGCAUCAAAGUAUGGUGUCAUUUCUCAGCAAGUAGCUGGUACAAGUUCUUCUACCUCCCCUAGCAGGAAAGAAGCUGCCGGUACCUUGGCAGAUGCUCGCAUAGCUGCUGCCGAGAAGUCCAUCAAGAAGGCUGAAACCGCCACAAGACCUGAAGAGGCAGCAUCCGCUAAGAAGGAUGCCACAAAAUCCGAGGCUGAUGCAAUGAAGUACGGGGCCAUCUCUCAGCAGGCCGCCGGCAAAAAUGGUGCCUAAGUGGUGCCUUAAACACCUAUUCACACGCAACAUCAUCUACAUACUACCAUGCAUGCAAAAUAGCAGCAUUCAGAUACCACAUUAUGCUAAUUCUCAUGCAUGCACACUUUGUUUAAACGUUCCCAUUACGAAUCAUGUAUUAAUGUCUUGCUUGUUUUAUUUUUAGUAGUAAGACAUGCUUGACUUGCUUUAAAAAAAAUACAACAAUCGAUGUAUACAUGUAUUAUCUAAAAAUCAGUAAUAUGAGUUCCACCGCAAUUUGUUUCUUUUUGUCAUAAUUUGGGUGCAAUCAAUGCACACAUCCAAUACACAAAAUUGGACGACUCAAUGUGUUGUGGCUCCAUGGAGCGGCGAAUCAUGUUUUAUUGUCUUGCUUGUUUUACUUUUAGUAGUAAUGUCUUGCUGGUCAAUGUAUUAUGGCUCCAUGGAGCGGCAUAAUGAUAUAUGAUAUAUCUUCACUACUUCAAAAAGAACUUAAGGUUUCGUCAUACAUCUUUCCUUCAUCCAUCCUCCCUACGAAUCCUUCCUGUUUUGAUUUUUUUCUCCCAUCUUUGAUUUUUCUCCCCAUUGAUUCUACCUAAAAACCACCUCAAUGUCACAUGUUUACUGUAUAUGUCAAGGCCUCCUUUGGUUCAUAGGGUAGAAAAAAACAUAGGAAUAGGAAAGUCAUAGGAAAUGAGAUGACAUGUAUCUCAAAUCCUAUGAUUGGGAAUAGGAAAGGAGAUGCCCUUUGAUUCACAUCAUAGGAUUUUUUCAUUGAAUCUAGGCUAAUGUUUAUUUUCCUAUGAAAUGUGAAGGAGAGGAAGAAUUCCUCCAUAGGAUUAGGAUUCCAUUCCUACAAACCAAAGGACUCUAAAGGAAUUUUUUCUAUAGAAAUCCUAUCCUAUGAAAUUCUUACAAGAUUCCUCCAAAUCAAAGGAGGCCCAAGUGGUUGUGAUGAGACAGUGGCUGGGCACUUCAGAUUUAUUCCCGUAACUGACUGUCAAAUUGAGUCAUCUGUCGUCCUUUCGAUGAUUGUAAGAAAGUUAUAUGUUUACUGUAUGUGCCAAUUGGUUGUGAUUAUCGUUACCGGCCACAAAGUUAUAUUUUCUUGUCUUAACGAAGGGUUGCAUACAAUGCGUGUAGCUCUUGACGCCUGAUAACCCACAAGUAUAGGGGAUCGCAACAGUUUUUGAGGGUAGAGUAUUCAACACAAAUUUAUAGAUUCGACACAAGGGGAGCCAAAGAAUAUUUGUAAGUAUUAACAGCUGAGUUAUCAAUUCAACCACACCUGGAGAUUAAUUAUCUGCAGCAAAGUGAUCAGUAGCAUAGUAGUAUGAUAGUUUUGAUAGUAGUAGCAACAUCAACAGUAACGGUAAUAGUGGUAGCAAUGGUUUUGUAGCAGUGACAAUAGUAACAGCAGCAGUAGUAACUUAGCAAGAACAAUAUGUACGAAAAUCGUACGCAUUGGAUCGGUGAUUUGUUGGAUGAUAUUCAUCAUGUGACAGUUACAACCUAGGACGAUACGGCACUAGCUCCAGUUCAUAAAUAUAAUGUAGGCAUGUAUUCUAUAAAUAAUCAUACGUGCUUAUGGAAAGAACUUGUAUGACAUCUUUUGUCCUACCCUCCUGUGGCAGCGGUGUCCUAUUGGAAACUAAGGGAUAUUAAGGCCUCCUUUUAAUAGAGAACCAGAACAAAGCAUUAACACACGGUGAAUACAUGAACUCCUCAAACUACGGUCAUCACAGGGAAGUGUCCCGACUAUUGUCACUCCGGGGUUGCCGGAUCAUAACACGUAGUAGGUAACUAUAACUUGCAAGAUUGGAUCUAGAACAUAGAUAUAAUGGUGAUAACAUAAGUCAUAGCAACAUCAAUCUCAGAACAUAAUGGAUACUCGGGAUGAAGCCCUAACAAAACUAACUCAAUUACAUGAUGAAUCUCAUCCAACUCCUCACCGACCAGCGAGCCUACGAAGGAAUUACUCACUCCUGGUGGGGAGCAUCAUGGAAUUGGCGAUGGAGAAGGGUUGGUGAUGACGAAGAUCGAAGACCCCCCUCUCUGGAGCCCCAAACGGACUCCAAAUCUAGCCUCCCGAUGAAGAACAGGAGAUGACGGCGGCUCUGUCUCGUGGAUCGUGAUAAUUCUUUCUUCCUGAUUUUUUCUGGAAAAAUAGGAUUUUAUAGCGUCGGAUUCAGGGCCUGCGGGGCCACCAGGUGGGGACAACCCACCUGGGUGUGCUUGGAGGGGGGGGGCCUGGUGGGUUGUGCCCAUCCAGGUGCCCCCCUCCGGUUGUUCUUGGCUCCAGAAAUUCUCUGUAUUUGUAUAAAAAUUCCUCGCAAAGUUUUGUUCCAAUCCGAAAACUUUUAUUUCUGCACAAAAAAAACACCAUGGUAGUUUUGUUGGAAACAGCGUCAGUCCGGGUUAGUUUCAUUCAAAUCAUGCAAAUUAGAGUGCAAAACAAGAGGAAAGUGUUAGGAAAAGUAGAUACGACGGAGAUGUAUCAACUCCUCCAAGCUUAAACCUUUGCUUGUCCUCAAGCAAUUCAGUUGAUAAACUGAAAGUGAAAAAAAAAUUACGAACUCUUUUGCUCUUGUUUUCAUAAAUAAGCUUAAACAUCACCCAGUGUCGAUGUCAAAACCGGCGGAUCUCGGAUAGGGGGUCCCGAACUGUGCGUCUAGGCGGAUGGUAACAGGAGACAAGGGACACGAUGUUUACCCAGGUUCGGGCCCUCUCGAUGGAGGUAAAACCCUACUCCUGCUUGAUUAAUAUUGAUGAUAUGGGCAGUACAAGAGUAGAUCUACCACGAGAUCAAGGAGGCUAAACCCUAGAAGGUAGCCUAUGGUAUGAUUGUUGUUGUCCUACAGACUAAAACUCUCUGGUUUAUAUAGACACCGGAGAGGGUUAGGGUUACACAGAGUCGGUUACAAUGGUAGGAGAUCUACAUAUCUGUAUCGCCAAGCUUGCCUUCCACGCCAAGGAAAGUCCCUUCCAGACACGGGAAGAAGUCUUCAAUCUUGUAUGUUCAUAGUCCGGGAGUCCGGCUGAAGGUAUCGUCCGGCUAUCCGGACACCCCCUAAUUCAGGACUCCCUUAGAGCCCCCGAACCAGGCUUCAAUGACGACGAGUCUGGCACGCAAAUUGUCUUCGGCAUUGCAAGGCGGGUUCUCCUUCAAUUUCUGUGUACCUGCUGAAUAAUGUCCGGUUUCUUAUAAAUGUAGCGCUCCUCGGCUUCCACGCCCAAUAAUGGCCGUCUUCCACGUGUCAAAUGAAUACGAAAAGUCUGGGUGUUUUUACAUUCACACCCCCAGCCGCGUAAAUGAGCCGCCUAUUUAAAGGGACGGGGAUUUAGAUCCAAACCACACCUUCUCCUCUCCGCGAGUUUCAUCAGAGCGCAUCCGACAAAGGACCGUUCCAUCAUGGCCAGCCGUCGCAGCUCCUCCUCUCGCCCUUCCAGCCCUCAUCCUGGAGAUUGGGAGAGAUGCUCCGUCCCGCACAGCGAGCUAGUGUCGCUUCGGACCAAAGGGAUUUCUUCCUCCGGCCUAUAUGGUCCCGGUUCGAGCCGGACUUGCCACCUAUAAUGGCGGAGAGCAAGUGGAGAGCGCCCCCAAUCCCUCCAAAGGAGAGCGGGUAUGCCUUGUCCCUUAUUUAAUAAGAGGGCUCGGAUUUCCAAUUCAUCCAUUUCUCCGGGGGCUCCUGGAGUUCUAUGGCCUCCAGCUGCACAACCUCACGCCUGUCUCCGUAUUGCAUAUUGCGGGCUUCGUAGCCCUUUGCGAGUUGUUUUUGGGUGUUGAGGCUCAUUUCGCGCUGUGGAAGAGGCUAUUCUGCCUUGUGCCCUGUUCUUAGGAGGGGUCAAUAUAUCAAGUGGGCGGAGCCAAAGUGUGGUGUAUCGCCGGGACCGGAUAUCUAUCCGGAACCCCAAAGAAGGCGUCUGAGGACUGGCCUUCAGAAUGGUUUUAUAUAGAGGACGUCCCGUUGCCGGAUCCUGUUCGGAUCGGCCUCCCUGAGUUCAACAGCGCUCCCCUAAAGAAAAACCUAAGCUGGCGCCCACGGAGCCCUCAGAGAGAAAGUGACAAGGACAUUCUUUACCUGAUGGGCCGGAUAAGAUUAUUAGCUCAUUCCGGACUAACCAUGAUCGGAGUCAUGGCUGCAUGCAUCAUGCGAGGGGUGCAACCGCUUCAGUACAGAGGCCACCCCAUGUGGGACUUCAACGGGGAGGAUGAUGCCACCCGUCACGGCCGUAAGGGGCCGGACUCGGCUACCGCUCUAGUAAAGAUCUUGUCCGCUUUGUACAAGGGAGAAGAGGAGGAAUUUCUCCGCGUCAACCCACAGGGUGGAUUUACCAUGUACAAUCCCCCAAGUUGGGUAAGUGGGCAAUUUUACUUGCACGUCUGUUUUGUAUUCCCAUCAUUAAAUAUAUAGUCUAACGACUUCAACGCAGGAACUGCGCCUGGAAGUAAAGGACAUAAAUAGCCCGCCUCCACAGCCCGAGGACCCAGAGUUGUCCCUCGAUCCGGCCUCCGAAGAGGAUCCGGACUUAUCCAUGGAGUUAAUUGAUGGGGUGUUUUAUCAAUUGAGCAAGGACAAUGCCUUGGUGGCCAUUAAGGCCGAUUACCCGGGGCUGCUCCCGGCCUCCCAGGUAACUGAGACCGAAGUCCUAGCACCUCAAAAAGGGAUCCGCCCUCGCGUGUUUUUCAGUUUCCUGACAACAACCGUGUUUUGCAGGGGAGGUUCUUGAGACGGGAGGCCGAGCCUGCGGCGACUAGCCAACGAGGGGCUACAGGGCCCCGUGGGAUGAAAAGAAGUGCAGUCCGGAUUGAGGCGCCGGCGCAGAGGUAUAGCACGCCUUCUUAUUCCCAGGUGUUAUUCCUUCAAGGCAUAUUAACACUCGUGCUCUUUUCAGGACAAAAAGACCCCGCCGGACUAUAUCUGGAGAGGCUGCCAAUCGCGCCUCCACCAGCCAGGCUCCAAAGCCUGGUCCGGAGACGGAGGCGAACACGAGGCGCGCACCGGACGCUCCUCCAACAGAGGAUGCGGACAGGCUGUCCGCCACUAAUUCCGAGGUGGAGAGUGCCAUGAACCACAGGCGUCGCCGGACAGUUCUUCGCGACGCUUGUUUCUCCCAAGAGGCAUUGGACGCCUUCAAUUCGGGAGAUGCGUACCUCCGUGCCGCUCAAAAUGGUCUAGCCAGAGCCACGGAGCAAUAUGUAAAAGACAUACAGGUGAGAAAAUUUAAUGGUUAUAUAUAUCAGUAGCCCCCGAGACUUGAAACAGUUAGAAGAACUGAUUUAAGGAUCAUUCAUAAUGCAGGUUCUUGCGGAAAAGAAUACCCAACUGUCCCAGGAGCUAGAAGAGUGCAAAGCCCAACUUGAGGCCGCACUAGCCGCGACAGGGGAGCCCAAGGAGACCCCCUCUGGUAAUAUGUGCUUCAAAAAGAGAAGUAUUUUGUGAAGUGCGGCGUUUGUGCAAAUCUGACAAAUGAAAUUGCAGAUGGCGCCGGAUUAGAUCCGGAAAAGCAACAACUCCUACGCCAGCUAAAGGCUGGUGAGAGCGUGCUGACAAAGGUGAGGUGGGAGAAGAACGAUCUCCAAUAUGCCAACACCAAGCUGGGCGUUGAACUGAAAGAUGUUUGUGCCCAGCUGUCGGACUCCGCUAAGGAGAAUCAGCGGCUUCGACGCGGCAUAUUUAGUAAGUGCUUAAACGAACUUUGAAUAAAGAGUUCGACGAGGAAGUCGACUAACGGAGUAAUGUCUGUAGGUAUGCUAACAGGUCGUCCUGCAGAGGAGAUGCCCGGUUCUAUGGGUGACCUUCUUCCCGAGCUCUUGCAACUGCACGAGCGAGUUCGGCAGGUGAUGCAGGGCGUCGCCCAGGCCUUGUGGCCAUCCAUCUCCAUGCCCGAAGGACUUGGAGAGCUUGCAGAGAAGCUGAAGGGAGCGCGGCGGCGCUUCUGAUUGUGGAAGAUAUCGGCCUGCGUCAAGGCGCUAGGGAGGCAUGGGCCAUGGUGAAGACGCGGUACACGAAGGCUGACCCAAACCACAUGGCCGAGGUCGGACCUGUGGGGCCCGAUGGGAAGGAGAUCCCUGUAAGCUUCGUAUACGGCUAAGUAGAAUUGGCCGCAAAGUAUUCCCAGCAGGACUGUAAGCUAGACAGCCUGUUAGAUGGUAUUGAAGAGGAAUACAAUCAGUCAUAAUGACUAUGUAAUUUUAAUUGACAUGUGUAAUGCCUUCUAGCCAGAUUGUAGAUCAUUUUUCAUGGCCGACCUUUUUGCUUCGACCUCGGGACCUGCGGUCUGGAGUGUGUCCGAAUACCCUUGCGGUUAUAUAAGAACCGGGGUAUGCAUGGAGACUAGGCGUAGGGGUCAUUAGUGCUUGAACAGACAAGUGCCCGACUAGUUAUGUUAUAUUACAUGGUUAGUAAGAAACAUCUUCCAGGGAGAAUAGUUCCGUUAGGGGUUCCUUUCCCUGGGAGGCAUGCCCUAAAGUGCAUGUCCAUUCUGCGAAAAAGAGACGCAGGAAAAAACAUCUGGGGGCGCAUAGAUAAAUAAGUGAAAAAAUCAUCUUUAGUUCACCGACCGAAUAUUUCCUUAAGAACGCUAGCUUUCGGCUUCACCCAGUCUGAGGUACACAUCGGGCUGACCCGGCAGUAACAAUCGCAGAGGUGCUCCCUUUACCACCUAGCCGAACAAUCGGGAACAUAGGGGUAAGCACAGGAGCCAGGCAACCCAGCUUGGCCAAAAAUUAAGUCAUAUCGAUGCAUAUGAUGGUGAAUAAAAGGUACAUGCGGAAGUGUGACACAUGUGUUGGGCAUGAAGCCCGUAUAAGCUUCUGUUCAAAGAAGCCCCCAGGUUUAGUGAGCGUGGAUAGCGCGUCACUUGAUGAGCCUUUAAAGGCUAUAAGAGAAAGGAGGGGGAGAAGGAGAAAAUGGAAGACAGAAAAUAUAAAAAAUGGACAGAGGAAGGAGACGAACAUAGAGUCCGGCGCUAGGCAUAGAAUCUUCGGAGACGGGCUGCGUUCCAUGGGUUCGGUUCGAGUCGGUUAUCCGAUGCAUCUCGCAGGCGGUAUGCUCCACCAGUCAGGACUUGGUCAAUUAUGAAGGGACCUUCCCACUUGGGCUGGAGUUUGUCCUUUUUCUUGUCCGGCAGGCGUAGAACUAGUUCGCCAACAUUGUAAUUUUUGGCCCGUACUUCUCUGCUUUGAUAUCUUCGAGCCUGCUGUUGAUAGAAUGCGGAACGGGCUUUUGCCACGUCACGCUCCUCCUCCAAGGCAUCUAAACUGUCCUGCCGAUCGAGCUCGGCUUCUCUUUCUUCGUACAUGCGCACUCAAGGUGAGUCAUGAAUUAUAUCGCAGGGCAAAACUGCUUCUGCACCGUACACCAUGAAGAAUGGUGUGUAUCCGGUGGUGCGAUUCGACGUGGUCCGCAGCCCCCAGAGUACGGAGUCGAGCUCCUCUACCCAGUGCGUGUUAGAUUCCUUAAGGUACCGCACUAAUCUGGGUUUGAUGCCGCUCAUGAUAAGACCAUUUGCGUGUUCGACCUGUCCGUUAGUUUGUGGGUGAUAGACGGAAGCAUAAUCGAGCUUGAUGCCCAUGUUUUUGCACCAGAGUUUUACCUCAUCGACCGUAAAGUUCGUACCGUUAUCAGUGAUGAUGCUGUGGGGGACGCCGUAACGGUGUACGACCCCCGAUAUAAAGUCUAUCACCGGUCCGGAUUCGGCCGUCUUAAUAGGCUUGGCCUCUAUCCAUUUGGUGAACUUAUCCACCAUGACCAGUAAGUAUUUUUUCUUCUGGGUUCCGCCUUUAAGGGGUCCAACCAUGUCAAGCCCCCAGACCGCGAAGGGCCAAGUGAUGGGGAUAGUUUGGAGGGCGGUGGGUGGCAUAUGGCUUUGGUUUGGCAAAAGCUGGCAACCGACGCAUCGUUGGACUAAGUCCUGAGCGUCUGCCCGGGCCGUUGGCCAAUAAAAGCCUGUACGGAAAGUCUUGCUUACGAGGGACCGAGUUGCGGUGUGAUGACCAUCGAGUCCGGCAUGAAUUUCAGCCAGCAAGUUCCGCCCAUCCUCCUCGGAGAUGCACCUUUGAAGGACUCCGGUAGUGCUUUUCUUAUAAAGCUCUCCCUCAUGGACUUUAUAGGCUUUAGAUCGCCGCACUAUGCAGCGUGCCUCAUUUUGGUCUUCUGGGAGUUCCUGCCUAGUAAGGUAGGCUAGGAAUGGUUCUGUCCACGGGGCGAUGACCGCCAUUAUUACGUGGGCUGAAGAUGUGACUUCAUUGGCAGAAUCUCCAAUUAUGUCAGUGUUGGGUAACGUAGCAGAAAUUCAAAAUUUUCCUACGUGUCACCAAGAUCUAUCUAUGGAGAAACCAGCAACGAGGGGAAGGAGAGUGCAUCUACAUACCCUUGUAGAUCGCUAAGCGGAAGCGUUCAAGAGAACGGGGUUGAAGGAGUCGUACUCGUCGUGAUCCAAAUCACCGAUGAUCCUAGUGCCGAACGGACGGCACCUCCGCGUUCAACACACGUACAGCCCGGUGACGUAUCCCACGCCUUGAUCCAGCAAGGAGAGAGGGAGAGGUUGAGGAAGACUCCAUCCAGCAGCAGCACAACGGCGUGGUGGUGGUGGAGGAGCGUGGCAAUCCUGCAGGGCUUCGCCAAGCACCACGGGAGAGGAGGAAGGAGAGAUGCAGGGCUGCGUCAUAUAGAAGAGAGGAACUCGCGUCUUAUGAGCAGCCCAAACCUCAACUAUAUAUAGGGGAAGGGGAGAGGCUGCGGCCCCUUUAGGGUUUCCACCCCUAGGGGUGGCGGCCAGCCUAGAUCCCAUCUAAGGGAGGCGGCCAAGGGGGAGGGGGAGAGGGAGGCGCACCAGGAUGGGCCUUAGGGCCCAUCUGCCCUAGGGUUUGCCCCCUUCUCCUCUCCCUUGCACCUUGGGCCCUUGUGGGGGGGGGGGCGCACCAGCCCACCUGGGGCUGGUCCCCUUCCACACUUGGCCCAUGAAGCCCUCCGGGGCUGGUUUGCCCCACUUGGUGGACCCCCGGGACCCUCCCGGUGGUCCCGGUACGUCACCGAUAAACCCCGAAACUUUUCCGGUGACCAAAACAGGACUUCCCAUAUAUAAAUGUUUACCUCCGGACCAUUCCAGAACUCCUCGUGACGUCCGAGAUCUCAUCCGGGACUCCGAACAACAUUCGGUAACCACAUACAAACUUCCUUUAUAACCCCAGCGUCAUCGAACCUUAAGUGUGUAGACCCUACGGGUUUGGGAGACAUGCAGACAUGACCGAGACGUUCUCUGGUCAAUAACCAAUAGCGGGAUCUGGAUACCCAUGUUGGCUCCCACAUGUUCCACGAUGAUCUCAUCGGAUGAACCACGAUGUCAAGGACUUAAUCAAUCCCGUAUACAAUUCCCUUUGUCUAUCGGUACGAUACUCGCCCGAGAUUCGAUCGUCGGUAUCCCGAUACCUUGUUCAAUCUCAUUACCGGCAAGUCUCUUUACUCGUUCCGUAACACAUCAUCCCGUGAUCAACUCCUUGAUCACAUUGUGCACAUUAUGAUGAUGUCCUACCGAGUGGGCCCAGGGAUACCUCUCCGUCACACGGAGUGAUAAAUCCCAGUCUCGAUUCGUGCCAACCCAACAGACACUUUCAGAGAUACCCGUAGUGUACCUUUAUAGCCACCCAGUUACCUUGUGACGUUUGGCACACCCAAAGCACUCCUACGGUAACCGGGAGUUGCACAAUCUCAUGGUCUAAGGAAAUGAUACUUGACAUUAGAAAAGCUUUAGCAUACGAACUACACGAUCUAGUGCUAUGCUUAGGAUUGGGUCUUGUCCAUCACAUCAUUUUCCUAAUGAUGUGAUCCCGUUAUCAACGACAUCCAAUGUCCAUGGUCAGGAAACCGUAACCAUCUAUUGAUCAACGAGCUAGUCAACUAGAGGCUUACUAGGGACAUGGUGUUGUCUAUGUAUCCACACAUGUAUCUGAGUUUCCUAUCAAUAUAAUUCUAGCAUGGAUAAUAAACGAUUAUCAUGAACAAGGAAAUAUAAUAAUAAUCAAUUUAUUAUUUCCUCUAGGGCAUAUUUCCAACAGUCUCCCACUUGCACUAGAGUCAAUAAUCCAGUUCACAUCGUUAUGUGACUAACACUCAAGGUCACAUCCCCAUGUGACUAACACCCAAAGAGUUUACUAGAGUCAAUAAUCUAGUUCACAUUUACCAUGUGAUUAACACUCGAUGAGUUCUGGGUUUGAUCAUGUUAUGCUUGUGAGAGAGGUUAUAGUCAACGGGUCUGAACCUUUCAGAUCCGUGUGUGCUUUACAAAUCUCUAUGUCAUCUCCUAGAUGCAGCUACCACGCUCUAUUUGGAGCUAUUCCAAAUAACUGUUCUACUAUACGAAUCCAGUUUACUACUCAGAAUAAUCUGGAUUAGUGUCAAAGUUUGCAUCGGCGUAACCCUUUACGACGAACUCUUUUACCACCUCCAUAAUCGAGAAAAUUCCUUAGUCCACUAGUUACUAAGGAUAACUUUGAUCGCUGUCCUGUGAUCCAUUCUUGGAUCACUCUUGUACCCCUUGACUGACUCAUGGCAAGGCACACUUCAGGUGCGGUACAUAGCAUAGCAUACUGUAGAGCCUAUGUCUUAAGCAUAGGGGACGACCUUCGUUCUUUCUCUCUAUUCUGCCGUGGUCAAGCUUUAAGUCUUAACUUCAUACCUUACAACUCAGGCAAGAACUCCUUCUUUGACUGAUCCAUCUUGAACACCUUCAAGAUCAUGUCAAGGAAUGUGCUCAUUUGAAAGUACCAUUAAGUGUUUUGAUCUAUCCUUAUAGAUCUUGAUGCUCAAUGUUCAAAUAGCUUAAUCCAGGCUUUCCAUUGAAAAAACACUUUCCAAAUAACCCUAUAUGCUUUCCAGAAAUUCUACGUCAUUUCUGAUCAACAAUAUGUCAACAACAUAUAUUCAUCAGAAAUUCUAUAGUGCUCCCACUCACUUCUUUGGAAAUACAAGUUUCUCAUAAACUUCGUAUUCACCCAAAAUCUUUGAUCAUCUCAUCAAAGCAUACAUUCCAACUCGAGAUGCUUACUCCAGUACUUAGAAGGAUUGCUGGAGCUUUGCAUACUUAUUAGCAUAUUUCAGGAUUGACAAAACCUUCCGGUUGUAUCACAUACAACCUUUCCUCAAAAAUCAUCGAGGAAACAAUGUUUUGACAUCCUAUCUGCAAGAUUUCAUAAAUGAUGCAGUAAUUGCUAAUAUAAUUCCAACAGACUCUUAGCAUCGCUACGAGUGAGAAAGUCUCAUCGUAGUCAACUCCUUGAACUUGUCGGAAAACAUCUUAAUGACAAGUCGAGCUUUCUUAAUGGUGAUACUUACCAUCAUUGUCCGUCUUCCUUUUAAAAUCCAUAUGUACCUAACAGCCUUACGACCAUCAAGUUGUUCUUCCAAAGUCUACACUUUGUUUUCACAUAUGGAUCCUCUCUCGGAUUAUAUGGCCUUGAGCCAUUUUGGAAUCCAGGCCCACCAUUGCUCCUCCAUAGCUCGUAGGUUCAUUGUUGUCUAGCAACAUGACUUCCAAGACAGGAUUACGUACCAUUCUAAAGCAGUACACAUCCUUGUCAUCCCACGAGGUUUGGUAGUGACUUGAUCUGAAGUUUCAUGAUCACUAUCAUAAGCUUCCACUUCAAUUGGUGUAGGUGCCACAGGAACAACUCCCUGUGCCCUGCCACACACUAGUUGAAGAGAUGGUUCAAUAACCUCAUCAAGUCUCCACCAUCCUCCCACUCAAUUCUUUCGAGAGAAACUUUUCCUCGAGAAAGGACCCGAUUCUAGUAACAAUCCCUUAUUGCUUUCGAAUCUGAGACAGGAGGUAUACCCAACUGUUUUGGGUGUCCUAUGAAGAUGUAUUUAUCCGCUUUGGGUUCGAGCUUAUCGACCUGAAACUUUUUCACAUAAGCGUCGCAGCCCCAAACUUUUAAGAAAUGACAGCUUAGGUUUCUCUAAACCAUAGUUCAUACGGUGUCAUCUCAUCGGAAUUACGUGGUGCCCUAUUUAAAGUGAAUGUGGUUGUCUCUAAUGCCUAACCCAUAAACUAUUGUGGUAAUUCGAUAAGAGACAUCAUGGUAUGCAUCAUAUCCAAUAGGGUGCAGUUAUGAUGUUCGGACACACCAUCACACUAUGGUGUUCCAGGCUGUAUCAGUUGUGAAACAAUUUCCACAAUGUCUUAAUUCUGUGCCAAACUCGUAAUUCAGAUAUUCAUCUCUAUGAUCAUAUCAUAGAUAUUUUAUCCUCUUGUCACGAUGAUCUUUCAACUUCACCCUGAAAUUACUUGAACCUUUCAAUAAUUCAAACUCAUGAUUCAUCAAGUAAAUAUACUCAACAUCUACUCAAAUCAUCUGUGAAGUAAGAACAUAACGAUAUCCACUACAUUCCUCAGCACUCAUUGGACUGCACACAUCAAAAUGUAUUACUUCCAACAAGUUGCUUUCUAGUUCCAUUUUACUGAAACCGAGGCUUUCAGUCAUCUUGCCCAUGUGGUAUGAUUUGCAUGUCUCAAGUGAUUCAAAAUCAAGUGAGUCCAAAUGGUCCAUUUGCAUGGAGUUUCUUCAUGCAUAUACACCAAUAGACAUGGUUCGCAUGUCUCAAACUUUUCAAAAAUGAGUGAGCCCAAAGAUCCAUCAACAUGGAGCUUCUUCAUGCGUUUUAUACUGAUAUGACUUACGUGGCAGUGCCACAAGUAGGUGGUACUAUCAUUACUAUCUUAUAUCUUUUGGCAUGAACAUGUGUAUCACUACGAUCAAGAUUCAAUAAACCAUUCAUUUUAGGUGCAAGACCAUUGAAGGUAUUAUUCAAAUGAACAGAGUAACCAUUAUUCUCCUUAAAUGAAUAGCCGUAUCGCGAUAGACAUAAUCCAAUCAUGUCUAUGCUCAACGCAAACACCAAAUAACAAUUAUUUAGGUUUAACACCAAUCUCGAUGGUAGAGGGAGCGUGCGAUGCUUGAUCAUAUCAACAUUGGAAACACUUCCAACACAUAUCGUCAGCUCACCUUUAGCUAGUCUCCGUUUAUUCCGUAGCUUUUAUUUCAAGUUACUAACACUUAGCAACCGAACCGGUAUCUAAUACCCUGGUGCUACUAGGAGUACCAGUAAAGUACACAUUAACACAAUGUAUAUCCAAUAUACUUCUAUCGACCUUGCCAGCCUUCUCUUCUACCAAGUAUCUAGGGUAAUUCUGCUCCAGUGGCUGUUCCCCUUAUUACAGAAGCACUUAAUUAGUCUCGGGUUUGGGUUCAACCUUGGGUUUCUUCACUAGAGCAGCAGCUAAUUUGCCGUUUCAUGAAGUAUCCCUUCUUGCCCUUGCCCUUCUUGAAACUAGUGGUUUCACCAACCAUCAACAAUUGAUGCUCCUUCUUGAUUUCUACUUUUGUGGUGUCAAACAUCGCGAAUAUCUCAAGGAUCAUCAUAUAUGUCCCUGAUAUAUUAUAGUUCAUCACGAAGCUCUAGCAGCUUGGUGGUAAUGACUUCGGAGAAACAUCACUUUCUCAUCUGGAAGAUCAACUCCCACUCGAUUCAAAUGAUUGUUGUACUCAGACAAUCUGAGCACAAGCUCAACAAUUGAGCUUUUCUCCCUUAGUUUGCAGGCUAAGAAAAUUGUCGGAGGUCUUAUACCUCUUGACAUGGGCACGAGCCUGAAAUCCAAAUUUCAGCCCUCGAAACAUCUCAUAUGUUUUGCGACGUUUCAAAACGUCUUUGGUGCCUCAACUCUAAACCGUUUAACUGAACUAUCACGUAGUUAUGAAAAUGUGUAUGUCAGAUGUUCGCAACAUCCACAGACAACGUUCGAGGUUCAGCACACUGAGCGGUGCAUUAAGGACAUAAGCCUUCUAUGAAGCAAUGAGGACAAUCCUCAGUUUACGGACCUAGUCCGCAUAAUUGCUACUAUCAACUUUCAACUAUUUUUUUUUCUCUAGGAACAUAUCUAAACAGUAGAACUAAAGCGCGAGCUACGACAUAAUUUGCAAAAUCCUUUUGACUAUGUUCAGGAUAAACAAGUUCAUCUUAUGAACUUCCACUCAGAUAGAUAUCCCUCUAGUCAUCUAAGUGAUUACAUGAUCCGAGUCAACUAGGCCGUGUUCGAUCAUCACGUGAGACGGACUAGUCAUCAUCGGUGAACAUCUUCAUGUUGAUCGUAUCUACCAUACGACUCAUGCUCGACCUUUCGGUCUCUUGUGUUCCGAGGCCAUGUCUGUACAUGCUAGGCUCAUCAAGUCAACCUAAGUGUUUCGCGUGUGUAAAUCUGUCUUACACCCGUUGUAUGUGAACGUUAGAAUCUAUCACGCCCGAUCAUCACGUGGUGCUUCGAAACGACGAACUUUCGCAACGGUGCAUAGUUAGGGGGAACACUUUCUUGAAAUUUUAAUGAGGGAUCAUCUUAUUUACUACUGUCGUUCUAAGCAAAUAAGAUGUAUAAACAUGAUAAACAUCACAUGCAAUCAAAUAGUGAUAUGAUAUGGCCAAUAUCAUAGUGCUCCUUUUGAUCUCCAUCUUCGGGGCUCCAUGAUCAUCAUCACCGGCAUGACACCAUGAUCUCCAUCAUCAUGAUCUCCAUCAUCGUGUCUUCAUGAAGUUGUCUCGCCAACUAUUACUUCUACUACUACAGCUAACUGUUAGCAAUAAAGUGAAGUAAUUACAUGGCGUUGUUUAAUGACACGCAGGUCAUAUAAUAAAUUAAGACAACUCCUAUGGCUCCUGCCGGUUGUCAUACUCAUCGACAUGCAAGUCGUGAUUCCUAUUACAAGAACAUGAUCAAUCUCAUACAUCACAUAUCAUUCAUCACAUUCUUCUUGGCCAUAUCACAUCACAUAGCAUACCCUGCAAAAACAAGUUAGACGUCCUCUAAUUGUUGUUUGCAUGUUUUACGUGGCUGCUAUGGGUUUCUAGCAAGAACGUUUCUUACCUACGCAAAACCACAACGUGAUAUGCCAAUUGCUAUUUACCCUUCAUAAGGACCCUUUUCAUCGAAUCCGAUCCGUCUAAAGUGGGAGAGACAAACACCCGCCAGCCACCUUAUGCAACUAGUGCAUGUUUGUCGAUGGAACCGGUCUCACGUAAGCGUAUGUGUAAGGUUGGUCCGGGCCGCUUCAUCCCACAAUGCCGCCGAAUCAAGAUUGGACUAGUAACGGUAAGCAUAUUGAACAAAAUCAACGCCCACAACUACUUUGUGUUCUACUCGUGCAUAGAAUCUACGCAAUAGACCUAGCUCAUGAUGCCACUGUUGGGUAACGUAGCAGAAAUUCAAAAUUUUCCUAUGUGUCACCAAGAUCUAUCUAUGGAGAAACCAGCAACGAGGGGAAGGAGAGUGCAUCUACAUACCCUUGUAGAUCGCUAAGCAGAAGCGUUCAAGAGAACGUGGUUGAAGGAGUCGUACUCGUCAUGAUCCAAAUCACCGAUGAUCCUAGUGCCGAACGGAUGACACCUCUGCGUUCAACACACGUACAGCCCGGUGACGUAUCCCACGCCUUGAUCCAGCAAGGAGAGAGGGAGAGGUUGAGGAAGACUCCAUCCAGCAGCAGCACAACGGCGUGGUGGUGGUGGAGGAGCGUGGCAAUCCUGCAGGGCUUCGCCAAGCACCACGGGAGAGGAGGAAGGAGAGAUGCAGGGCUGCGUCAUAUAGAGGAGAGGAACUCGCGUCUUAUGAGCAGCCCAAACCUCAACUAUAUAUAGGGGAAGGGGAGGGGCUGCGACCCCUUUAGGGUUUCCACCCCUAGGGGUGGCGGCCAGCCUAGAUCCCAUCUAAGGGAGGCGGCCAAGGGGGAGGGGGAGAGGGAGGCGCACCAGGAUGGGCCUUAGGGCCCAUCUGCCCUAGGGUUUGCCCCCUUCUCCUCUCCCUUGCGCCUUGGGCCCUUGUGGGGGGGGGCGCACCAGCCCACCUGGGGCUGGUCCCCUUCCACACUUGGCCCAUGAAGCCCUCCGGGGCUGGUGGCCCCACUUGGUGGACCCCCGGGACCCUCCCGGUGGUCCCGGUACGUUACCGAUAAACCCCAAAACUUUUCCGGUGACCAAAAUAGGACUUCCCAUAUAUAAAUCUUUACCUCCGGACCAUUCCGGAACUCCUCGUGACGUUCGGGAUCUCAUUCGGGACUCCGAACAACAUUCGGUAACCACAUACAAACUUCCUUUAUAACCCCAGAGUCAUCGAACCUUAAGUGUGUAGACCCUACGGGUUCGGGAGACAUGCAGGCAUGACCGAGACGUUCUCCGGUCAAUAACCAACAGCGGGAUCUGGAUACCCAUGUUGGCUCCCACAUGUUCCACGAUGAUCUCAUCGGAUGAACCACGAUGUCAAGGACUUAAUCAAUCCCGUAUACAAUUCCCUUUGUCUAUCGGUAUGAUACUCGCCCGAGAUUCGAUCGUCGGUAUCCCGAUACCUUGUUCAAUCUCGUUACCGGCAAGUAUCUUUACUCGUUCCAUAACACAUCAUCCCGUGAUCAACUCCUUGAUCACAUUGUGCACAUUAUGAUGAUGUCCUACCGAGUGGGCCCAGAGAUACCUCUCCGUCACACGGAGUGACAAAUCCCAGUCUCGAUUCGUGCCAACCCAACAGACACUUUCGGAGAUACCCGUAGUGUACCUUUAUAGCCACCCAGUUACGUUGUGACGUUUGGCACACCCAAAGCACUCCUACGGUAACCGGGAGUUGCACAAUCUCAUGGUCUAAGGAAAUAUUGACAUUAGAAAAGCUUUAGCAUACGAACUACAUGAUCUAGUGCUAUGCUUAGGAUUGGAUCUUGUCCAUCACAUCAUUCUCCUAAUGAUGUGAUCCCGUUAUCAACGACAUCCAAUGUCCAUGGUCAGGAAACCGUAACCAUCUAUUGAUCAACGAGCUAGUCAACUAGAGGCUUACUAGGGACAUGGUGUUGUCUAUGUAUCCACACAUGUAUCUGAGUUUCCUAUCAAUACAAUUCUAGCAUGGAUAAUAAACGAUUAUCAUGAACAAGGAAAUAUAAUAAUAAUCAAUUUAUUAUUGCCUCUAGGGCAUAUUUCCAACAGUCAGAUUGUUCGGUGUUGGGCAGUGCGGUUGAGUCCGGGCUGUUAUUGCCGGGUUCCCCUUCCCAUACUACGGACGGCUUGAAUAGCCUUUCCAAGAAGAUGUUGGGAGGGACUGCAUCGCGUUUUGCGCCGAUGCGUGCCAGGACAUCCGCCGCCUGAUUAUUUUCCCGGGCUAUAUGGUGAAAUUCGAGCCCUUCGAACUGAGCUGACAUUUUUAAGACGAUGUUGCGAUAAGCUGCCAUUUUUGGAUCCUUGGCAUCGAAGUCUCUGUUUAUUUGGGACAUUGCGAGGUUCAAAUCCCCUCGCACUUCUAGGCGUUGAAUACCCAUGGAUACUGCCAUCCAGAGACCAUGUAAGAGGGCCUCGUAUUCGGCUGCAUUGUUGGAGUCUGUGUACAUAAUCUGGAGUACAUAUUGAACUGUGUCUCCUGUGGGGGACGUCAAAACGACGCCAGCCCCCAGACCGGCCAACAUUUUGGAGCCGUCGAAAUGCAUGAUCUAGUUUUAAUAUGUGCCGUACUCUUCAGGGAGUUCGGCCUCCGUCCAUUCUGUGACGAAGUCAGCCAAAACUUGCGACUUGAUAGCUCGCCGUGGCUUAUAAGUUAUGUCGAACGGGAGGAGCUCGAUGGCCCAUUUCGCAAUCCGGCCCGUUGCGUUGCGGUUCUUUAUAAUAUCGUUUAGUGGUACUUCUGAGGCUACUAUUAUUGAACACUCUUGAAAGUAGUGUCGCAGCUUCCGGGAUGCCAUGAAUACCGCGUACGCAAUCUUUUGAUAAUGUGGGUACCUUGAUUUGCACGGAGUGAGGACAGUGGACACAUAAUAGACCGGCUUCUGAAGGGGGAAUUUGUGUCCGUCGUUUCUCGUUCGACGACGAGCACUGCGCUCAGAACCUGAUGGGUUGCUGCAAUGUAUAAUAGCAUUGGUUCGCCAAUGUUUGGCGCGGCCAGGACUGGGUUUGUUGCCAAUAUGGCUUUUAUUUCGUCGAGUCCGGCCGUGGCUGCGUCCGUCCACUCGAAGUGUUCGGUGCGCCUAAGGAGGCGGUAAAGGGGGAGUGCCUUUUCUCCCAAGUGGGAGAUAAAGCGGCUUAGAGCCGCCACACAUCCGGUUUACUUUUGUAUUUGUUUGAGGUCCUUUGGGAUAUUCAAUUGUGACAGAGCUCGGAUCUUGGCUGGAUUUGCUUCAAUUCCUCUACCGAAUACAAUGAAGCCCAAGAGCUUUCCGGCUGGAACGCCGAAAACGCAUUUUUCUGGGUUGAGCUUGAUGUCGUAUGUUCGGAGGUUAUCAAAUGUGAGCCUCAAGUCAUCUACUAGGGAUUCGACAUGUCUUGUUUUUACGACCACAUCAUCUACAUAUGCCUCCACUGUUUUGCUGAUCUGGUUUGCCAGACAUGUCUGAAUCAUGCGCUGAUAUGUUGUUUUGAGCCCGAAGGGCAUUGUGUUGAAGCAGAAUGGGCCGUAUGGUGUGAUCAAUGUCGUUGCGGCUUGGUCUGAUUCUGCCAUCUUGAUUUGAUGGUAGCCGGAAUAUGCGUCGAGCAAGCACAACGAAUCGUGUCCUGCAGUAGCGUCGAUAAUUUGAUCCAUGCGGGGGAGGGGAAAGGGAUCCUUUGGGCAAGCCUUAUUAAGGUCUUUAAAAUCAACGCACAAGUGCCAGGAUUUGUCCUUCUUUGGUACCAUCACUAGGUUUGCUAGCCAGUCCGGAUGUUUUAUAUCUCUGAUGGAUCCGGCCUCUAAUAGCUUGGCUAGCUCCUCUCCCAUGGCCUGUCUCUUAGGUUCGGAAAAACGCCGAAGAGCCUGUUUGACAGGUUUGAAUCCUUUAGGAUAUUUAAGCUGUGUUCGGCCAGCCUGCGUGGGAUUCCUGGCAUGUCUGAAGGGUGCCAGGCGAAAAUGUCCUAGUUCUCACGUAGGAACUCUCGCAGUGCGGCGUCUACAUCAGGGUUUAAUUGUGCACCGAUGGAAGCUGUUUUAUUGGGGUCCGUUGGAUGGACCUGGAAUUUGACUAUUUUGUCCGCUGGUUUAAAUGAGAUGGACUUGGAUCUUUUGUCGAGUAUCACAUCAUCCCUGUUCACCGUGGAGCGCAGCGCAGUCAGCUCCUCAGCCGCUAGGGCUUAGGAUAGUGCCUCAAGGGCCAGUGCGGCUGUCUUAUUUUAGGCGCGGAGUGCUAUGUCCAGAUCACUAGCGAGAGUGAUGAUUCCGUUCGGCCCGGGCAUCUUGAGUUUCAUGUACCCAUAAUGGGGUAUUGCUUGGAAGAUUGUGAACGCUUCCCGCCCUAGCAGAGCGUGGUAUCCGCUACUGAACGGGACCACUUGGAACGUGACCUCCUCGGACCUGUAAUUAUCCGGCGUGCCGAACACCACAUCUAGUGUGAUUUUUCCUGUACAGCACGCUUCCUGACUGGGGAUUAUUCCUCUAAAGGUUGUGCUGCUUCGCUCAAUGCGGUUCCAGUCUAUUUCUAGUUUUUGAAGGGUUUCCUCAUAAAUGAGGUUCAAUCCGCUGCCUCCAUCCAUGAGUACCUUGGUAAGGCGAAAGCCAUCCACUAUUAGACUGAGGACCAAUGUGGCUGGUGCUCGGGCUGUUCGGAAUUUAGGUUCAUCACUGGCAUUAAAAGUAAUAGCCGUGUCACUCCAUGGGUUUAUUGUUGCUACUUGGUAGACUUCGACAAGGCUGCGGAGUGUUCUUUUUCGCAUAUUAUUUGAUGCGAAAGUCUCGAAGACUGUUAAUACCGUACCGGUAUCCCUGGGGUGGCUUUCUAUGGCCUCCGGAAUUAGGAGAUCUUCACCAAUUUUGGCCACCUGCCGGAGUAUCCAACAUGCUCUAAGGCUGUGAGUUGGUGUGGCGCCCUCUGUACUAUGAAUUUUACAGGGUCGAUUAAGCCAUCCUUCCAAUAUGCUUCCAUGCCCUGUAGAGGGUUUUUGCUUUUUGGUGUUUAACCGGGUGUCUGGCGAAGAUGCACCCUUUUAUUUCGGACUGGGUUUGUAUUCAGGGCCGGAUUGUCCCAAAAUUUUAUUUCGGUUUUCCAGGCGCUAUCCAUCGCACAGUACUUUCGUACUAUGGACACCAAGUCAGCGAAGCAUGUAAUAUCACGGCGACUUAUGGCGUUGAGGAUUCCCUUGUCCAUGCAAUUAUUGCAGAAGAAUGAGAUUGCGUCUUCCUCGCGGCAGUCCUUGAUCCUGUUCAUAGCCAGGAGGAAUCUGGCCCAGUAAUGAUGUACUGUUUCUUUGGGUUUUUGCCUAAUUUGGGAUAGAUCGCUUAUGUUCGGGUGGGUGGGUGGAAUUAAAUCCGAAACCUGACCCGAUCUGAGACUCAGAGGCCAAGGAGAUUCCGAACUCGGAAGUUUGGAUUCUUGGAUGUUGUCCAAUGAGUCUAGCCCGUCGCCUGACUCUAAGUUCAGGUCUUGAGUGAUGUCCUCCCCUCCGCGGGUAUCCGACUUGGAGGGAUCGGGAAUCCGGACAUAACUAGUCCUUAAGAUAGAUGAAGGGUCACCGCACUGUCCCUCUACCAUAGCAAUGUGAUGGGUGACCUGGGGAGAGUUAAUCUCUCUUAGAUCGGGUUUAGGCCCAAUCUGGUCAUAAUCCGUGGCAACUCCCAGGGCGGCGACGCGAUCCAAGAGCUCGUUUAUGGAAGAGAGCUCCAUUGUAUCUAACUGCUCGGCGAGUUCCGAGAUGACAUGAAGACUGCUUUUGAUGACCCGAGAGGUCAUCGUCGGCGCAGCAGCCGAACAGGCGGUCAUAAGAAAACCGCCUAGCCGGAGAGUUUGGCCGACAGCCAAAGCUCCCUUAGCAACGGUUCCGUCUUUAAAGACGGGAUGAGGCAUCCUUCCUGAUGGCGACGGCACAGAGGAACUCUCAAUGUAAGCACCAAUAUCGGUGUCAAAACCGGCGGAUCUCGGGUAGGGGGUCCCGAACUGUGCGUCUAGGCGGAUGGUAACAGGACACAAGGGACACGAUGUUUACCCAGGUUCGGGCCCUCUCGAUGGAGGUAAAACCCUACUCCUGCUUGAUUAAUAUUGAUGAUAUGGGUAGUACAAGAGUAGAUAUACCACGAGAUCAAGGAGGCUAAACCCUAGAAGCUAGCCUAUGGUAUGAUUGUUGUUGUCCUACGGACUAAAACCCUUCGGUUUAUAUAGACACCGGAGAGGGUUAGGGUUACACAGAGUCGGUUACAAUGGUAGGAUAUCUACAUAUCCGUAUCGCCAAGCUUGCCUUCCACGCCAAGGAAAGUCCCUUCCGGACAUGGGACGAAGUCUUCAAUCUUGUAUCUUCAUAGUCCGGGAGUCCGGCUGAAGGUAUAGUCCGGCUAUCCAGACACCCCCUAAUCCAGGACUCCCUCACCCAGGUUUUCAGCCAAGAUUAUAACUAACCAUGUCGACAAUAACUCUUAAACAUUAUAGUAACUCUUAUGAGUAGAGGCCGCGGGAAAAAGCCUAGUAGUAGCGCGGAUAAAAGACUAGUAGUAGUGCGGGUGCCCGUGCUACUACUAUGGCGCUACAGCUAACUCGUAGUAGUAGCGCAGGUGCCACCCGUGCUACUAGUACGUGUGUUAGUAAUAGCGCGGAUUCUACACACGCUACUACUAACUAUGUGUAGCGCCUGUCUGUGACCCGCGCUACUACUAUUAAUUUCAAAAACCAAAAAAAAAUCUCGACCCCGUGCAUGUUGUCAAUGGUGUCAUCCAGCGACGACAGGGGUUGCCGGAGGUGUGGACGGGUAGUGGCAGACCAGAUCCGGCGAUGGCUGUUGGAGAUGGCCGGAUCCAGUGUAGAGCAAGACGACGGUGUGAGGAUCCUCUUCGCGGUCAAGGCGGAGAACUCCUGGUUGGCCAUGUCGACGACCUGUGCAGGCAUGGGCAUGGGAGGUGAGUAAAACCAAAGGGAGAGGGAGAGGAGAGGGAGAGGGAAAAAGAGAAACAAGGGAGAAAGGAAGGAGAUGGAGGGCGUAUCGGGGCUGCAUGGAGGCGAGGAGGAAGACGGGCGAGCUCUUGGACGCCAGCGAUGCGAGGAGGAAGACGUUGGGUGCCAUGGAGGAGGAGAUGUUCUUGGGCAGGAGCACCAUGGAGAGAGGGGGAAAGUGAGGGAGAGAGGAGGAAAGUGAGAGAGGGGGAAAGUGAGGGAGAGAGGAGGGAUUCGGCCGAGGAUAUGGAGAUUUCAUCUACCUCGUACUUAGUAGUAGCGAGGGGUAUAAAACCGCACUACUACUAUCAACAUAGUAGUAGCAUGGGUUUGUACCCCUCGCUACUACUAUGGCAUGUCCCGGGAGGGCAUGGUAGACACCGCUUAGUAGUAUCGAGGGUGAAAAACCCGCGCUAAUAGUAUCAACUUAGUAGUAGCGAGGGGUAAAAACCCACGCUACUAGUAAGUAGCAGUAGCGACGGUUAUAAACCCGCGCUACUAGUAAGCGUCUGCCUAUAAGCUUUUCCCUAGUAGUGGCAUAUCUAUGACAUAAUCAACUAGCGAGCAAUAAUAAGAUAUCUCAAACAACAACACGUUGUGAAAACAACCAUGAUAUAAUAUGACAAUAGUGGUAUCUCGCUAGCCCUUUCUAAGACCGCAAAACAUAAAUGCAGAGCACCUCCAAAGUUCAAGCAGCGACUAAACAUUGUAAUUCAUGGUAGAAAAGAUCUAGUCUUGAUGCACCCAACAUUAGCAACACAUAGUGCAUCAGCAUGACAACAGUGCUCUUUGGAUUUGGCACUUAUUUUAGAAGGUGAUGACACAACAUAAAAGUAAAUAGAUAGUCCCUUCGCAGAGGGAAGCAGUGAUUUGCAGCUGUGCCAGAGCUCAAAAUUUUAAAACAGAGGUAAAUGAAAUUUUGGGAAAUUGAUACGUAUCCAAUGUAUCUAUAAUUUUUUAUUGUUCCAUGCUAUAUUAUAUUAUGUUUUGGAUGUUUAAUAGGCUUAUUUAUACACUUUUAUAUUAUUUUUGGGACUAACCUAUUAACCGGAGGCCCAGCACAAAUUGCUGUUUUUGUUCCUACUUCAGUGUUUCGCAAAAAAAAGAAUAUCAAAUGGAGUGCAAACGGAAUGAAACCUUCGGGAACAUGAUUUUUGAAACAAAUGUGAUCCAGAGGACUUGGAGUCCAUGUCAAGCAGUCAACGAGGAGGGCACGAGGCAGGGGGCGCUCCUACCUCCCCCUAGGCGCGCCCUCCACCCUCAUGGGGCCCACGUUGCUCCACCGGCGUACUUCUUCCUCCUAUAUAUACCUACGUACCCCCAAACCAUCAGGGGCAUCCACGAAAACCUAAUUCCACCGCCGCAACCUUCUGUACACGUGAGAUCCCAUCUUGGGGCCUUUUCCGGCAUCCUGCCGGAGGGGGCAUUGAUCACGGAGGGCUUCUACAUCAACACCAUAGCCACUCCGAUGAUGUGUGAGUAGUUUACCUUAGACUUUUGGGUCCAUAGUUAUUAGCUAGAUGGCUUCUUCUCUCUCUUUGGAUCUCAAUACAAAGUUCUCCACGAUUCUCGUGGAGAUCUAUUCGAUGUAAUCUUCUUUUGCGGUGUGUUUGUCGGGACCGAUGAAUUAUGGAUUUAUGAUCAAGUUUAUCUAUGAACAAUAUUUGAAUAUCCUCUGAAUUCUUUUAUGUAUGAUUGGUUAUCUUUGCAAGUCUCUUCGAAUUAUCAGUUUGGUUUGGCCUACUAGAUUGAUCUUUCUUGCAACGGGAGAAGUGCCUAGCUUUGAGUUCAAUCUUGUGGUGUCGUUUCCCAGUGACAGCAGGGGCAGCAAGGCACGUAUUGUAUUGUUGCCAUCGAGGAUAACAAGAUGGGGUUUAUAUCAUAUUGCAUGAGUUUAUCUCUCUACAUCAUGUCAUCUUGCUUAAAGCGUUACUCUGUUCUUAUGAACUUAAUACUCUAGAUGCAUGUUGGAUAGCGAUCGAUGUGUGGAGUAAUAGUAGUAGAUGCAGGCAGGAGUCGGUCUACUUGUCACGGACAUGAUGCCUAUAUACAUGAUCAUACCUAGAUAUUCUCAUAACUAUGCUCAAUUCUAUCAAUUGCUCGACAGUAAUUUGUUCACCCACCGUAAUACUUAUGCUUUUGAGAGAAGCCACUAAUGAAACAUAUGGCCCCCGGGUCUAUUUUCCAUCAUAUUAAUCUUCCAACACAUAGCCUUUUCUAUUGCCCUUUUUAUUUUACUUUGCAUCUCUAUUUCUCUUUAUCAUAGAAAUACUAAAAAUAUUAUCUUAUCAUAUCUAUCAGAUCUCACUCUCGUUAGUGACCGUGAAGGGAUUGACAACCCCUUUAUCGCGUUGGUUGCGAGGUUCUUAUUUGUUUUGUGUAGGUGCGUGGGACUUGAGCGUGGCCUCCUACUGGAUUGAUACCUUUGUUCUCAAAACUGAGGGAAAUACUUACGCUACUUUGUUACAUCACCCUUUCCUCUUCAAGGCAAAAAACAACGCAAUGCUCAAGAGGUAGCAAGAAAGAUUUCUGGCGCCGUUGCCGGGGAGUUUACGCAAAAGUCAACAUACCAAGUACCCAUCACAAACUCUUAUCCCUUGCAUUACAUUAUUUGCCAUUUGCCUCUCGUUUUCCUCUCCCUCGCUUCACCCUUGCCGUUUUAUUCGCCCUCUUUUCCGCUCGCCUUUCCUUCGCCAUGUCGGAACCAAAAAGAGUUGGGGGUUCUCUCCCGAGUUUUAGUACUUUGGACGAUCCUUCUAUUCUAUCUAAACUCAUAAAUAAUGUCAUGGUAAAACCUGCCGGAGUUGUCAAUGAGAGUCUUAAUAAUUUUGAUGAAGAUGAUUCCGGAAUUUUUCGUUAUUUACUCGAUGAAUCUUUGAAAGAUGCUUGGGAUAGACUGUUAAGGAUCCGGGCUAACUAUGUGCCCCAAUACCAAAUUGUAGUUUACUUGAAGAGCUUUUAUGUUGCCCUACCUUCUUCGUUUAAGCAUGUCUUAGAUUCUAUAUUUGAAGAAGGCUUUCUUGAAGGGGAUGCCGUAGAUACUUAUGAAAAGAUGAAGACCAUAUUCGGGCACCCCAUGAAUGAGAAAAUUGAAUCUACAUCUCUUUUGCUCUCCAGUCCUUGGUUCAUGUAAAUCUGAAUCUAGCCGGCACUACCCCUUCACAAGCUGUUGCAUAGUCUUCAGCGAGGUGCGGCAUAACUUCCGUGUGAGGGGAAAUGAACUUCUCCAUGAAUACCUUCUCUCUCACCUUGAAAGCGGUAUAGUAGUAGCCUGGGUUGCACUUGAGCAAUCCAUUUUCCAUGAGAAACUUUACAACGUAGUACCUGGGUUUCAUCCAGCCCUCCAGCUUGUAAUUGAUAAUUAUUGACCGUUGAGCAACGUAGGUAGGUUCCAACCUGUUAGACUAUGUAUAGCUUCUGUACCUAUGUACGUAUAUGGUACAUAUUGUAACACAACCAUUAUAUAUAAUGAGAUAAGCCACCCCUAGAGGGUUGUGCUGGUUCCCCAAAACUUAUUGUCUUACAUGGUAUCACGCUAGGUUACGAUCGCUUCCGCUUCUAAACCCUAAUACCCGCACCGCCGCCGCAGCCGCCGCCGCCUUCACCGCCGCCGCCGCGCCACCGAUCGCGCCGCCGCCAUGUCGAGCGCUGCCACCACCGGUUCCACUGCUGCGGGCUUCCUCCCGGCCUCUCUUGCGGCUCUGCUCAACCUCCCGCUCGAUGCCGUCUCUGUUCCGGCUCCGAUCGGGACAAGGAGCAUCGGCUCCGUCUUCUCCAUGCCGCCGGCGCCCUCGCUUGGGCGUGACCUCGUGGUCCACACCGCGGCGCCGCCGUCCGCUGCGGACUCCGCAGGCAUCGUCCCGCCGCUCCUGCCGCAAGCGGAUCACACUGCCCCGCUGGCGGGGUUGGCGGCGUCCGCCCCGGCCGCGGGCCUUGCGGCGUCCGCACCGGCCGCGAGCUUUGCGGCGCCCGCCCUGGCUGCGGUCCCGCCUCCUCCCGCAUCGGCUUCGGUGCCUCCAGCUGCCUCCAUGGUGUUUGCACCCCAGGCAGCCUCCUCGAUGGGAUUGUCUUCGCCGCUGCCGUUUCACUUCGGUCAUCUCAUCACCAUCAAGCUCUCCGCCGACAACUACAUCUUCUGGCGUGCGCAGGUUCUCCCGCUCUUGGGGAGUCACUACCUGCUAGGCUACAUCGACGGAUCGCUUCCCUGCCCACCCGCGCUGGUAGACAGCAUGCACGGUCCGGUCUACAAUCCGGCCCAUCGCGUCUGGACGGGGCAGGACCAGGCGAACCUCUCCUCCAUCCAGGGGUCGCUCUCGCCGGCAGUUGUCGGCCUUGUUGUCUUCGCGAAGACGUCUCAUGAGGCCUGGACCAUCCUUGAGCACACCUUUGCAGCGCAGUCCCAGGCUCGUGUCUCUGCACUCCGUCGUCAGCUUGGAGAGUGUCAGAAGCUUGACUCCACUGCCACUGAGUUCUACAACAAGGUCAAGGGCCUCGCCGACACAUUGGCCUCCAUUGGACAGCCCCUCACCGACUCCGAGUUCAACUCGUUUAUUGUCAAUGGUCUUGAUGAGGAGUAUGAUGCCUUAGUCGAGAUCAUCAACGAGCGGGGCAACUCGACACCCAUGCUGGCACACGAGGUUUUCUCUCGGCUCCUUCUCACUGAGCAACGGGUCGAGACUCGCCGCACCAGGGGCACUGGCUCCCUCUCGGCCAACGCCGCCACCAAGGGUGGCCGCUCUUCUUCAUCACCCCGGUCUCCCUUGGGGCUGCCACCGUCGCCCUCCUCGGCCCCCCACCUACUGCGACCUUACCGGGGGCUGGCGUUCCACGUGUGUGUCAGCUUUGUGGCCGCGAUGGGCACUGGGCCUCCAAGUGUCAUAAGCGCUUCCAGCGAAGCUUCCUUGGUCUUGGCAAUGACGGCAAAGAUACACGCAACAAUGCCCGUCAGGUCGCCAUGGCUGAUCGUCCCGCGCCGCAGAAGCAACAGGGACACACUCAGUCCUACUCCAUCGAUCCACACUGGUACAUGGACUCUGGGGCGAUAGAGCAUCUAACCAGCGAGAUGGGGAAGCUUCACACUCGUGAACCCUAUCAUGGCUCCGACAAGAUCCACACCGCCAAUGGAGCAGGUAUGCACAUCUCUCAUAUUGGUCAAGCAUCUCUUCUCACUAGACAUGCCAAUAGGAGUCUUCAGCUUCGCAAUGUUCUUCGAGUUCCAUCUGUGACCCGUAAUCUUCUUUCAGUUCCUAAACUCACACGUGAUAAUAAUGUGCUUUGUGAAUUUCACCCUUUUGAUCUUUUUAUUAAGGAUCGGGGCACGAGGGACAUUCUUCUUAGUGGGCGGUUGUGCCAGGGCCUCUACCGUCUGGAGCAUCCUGGUGUCGCUCGUGUUUUCAGUGGAGUUCGGGUCUCUCCGUCACAGUGGCAUGCUCGUCUUGGUCACCCGGCCACACCUAUUGUCCGUCAUAUUUUGCGUCGUCAUGAGCUUCCUAGUUUGUCUAGUCAUAAAGAUGUAGCAGUGUGUGAUGCUUGUCAGCAGGGGAAGAGUCAUCAACUUCCUUUUUCGGAGUCCAGUCGUGAGGUGAAACAUCCUUUAGAACUUGUGUUUUCAGAUGUAUGGGGUCCUGCUCAGACUUCUGUCAGUGGUCAUAAUUACUAUAUCAGUAGUCGCUUUACCUGGCUUUACCUUAUUAAACGCAAAUCUGAUGUGUUUGAUAUUUUUGUUCAGUUUCAAAAACAUGUUGAACGUCUUCUCAAGCACAAAAUUGUUCAUGUCCAGUCAGACUGGGGGGGCGAGUAUCGCAACCUCAACUCUUUCUUUCAGUCGCUUGGGAUAGCUCAUCGUUUAGCAUGUCCACAUACACAUCAGCAGAAUGGUUCAGUCGAACGUAAGCAUCGUCAUAUUGUUGAAGCUGGUCUUACUCUUUUGGCCCAUGCAUCUAUUCCGUUUCGGUUUUGGAGUGAUGCUUUCACCAUUGCAUGCUUUCUCAUCAACCAUACUCCUACUCGUGUUUUAAACAUGAAGACUCCCAUUGAGGUUCUCCUUAAUGAACAACCUGAUUAUACCUUUCUCAAGGUAUUUGGGUGUGCUUGCUGGCCGCAUCUUCGUCCAUAUAACAAGCGCAAGCUUGAGUUUCGUUCUAAGAAGUGUGUUUUUCUUGGCUAUAGCUCUCUUCAUAAAAGUUACAAAUGUCUUCAUGUUCCCACUAAUCGUGUCUAUAUAUCUCGGGACGUCGUGUUUGAUGAGCAUGUUUUUCCCUUUGCCAACCUUCCUGUGUCCACUGUCGAACCACCAUCCCUGCAUUCAUCCUCUGUUGCUUCUGACCAAUUUGAUGAUGUUGCAUACUCUCCUUUGCUGUUACCUAACCAUCUCCACUGCUCGGUCCGUUUCGCCAGCGGCCGCCGAGUCGCCCGCGACUCGGCCCGUCACGCCGUCUUCGCCUGCGGCUCGGCCCGUCACGCCGUCUUCGCCCGCGGCUCGGGUCCUCAUGUCGCCUUCAUCAGCGGAUCGGCCUGCGACACCGGCCGCGCCACGGCCCACUAUGCCGAGCUCGCCAUCGGCCCGGUCUGUGAUGCCGGAGUCGCCAGCUGCUUCGUCUGCUCUGCCGGUUUCGCCGGUGGGUCGGCCUUCUUCGCCAACCGAGUCCGAGGCUACCGUGACUGGCUCCUCGUCACCGGCUGACUCGUCAACGUCGCCGUCCUCCAGCCCGUUGCAGGCUGCUCCGUCGACCUCGGUGGUUCCUGUGUCCCGACCACAUACAUGCAGUCGCAGUGGCAUUUUCAAACCUAAGGAACGUAAGGAUGGUACGGUUGCUUGGUUGGCUGCUUGUUUGGCUGCUGCUGUUGCGGAUCCAUCUUCUGAGCCUCGCUCAUAUCAGGCUGCCCUGCGCAUUCCACAUUGGCGAGAGGCUAUGGAGCAGGAGUUUCAUGCUCUUCUUCGUAACAAGACAUGGACUCUCGUUCCUCCACCACCACGGGUAAAUGUUAUUGAAUCAAAAUGGGUAUUCAAAGUGAAGAAGCAUUCGGAUGGAUCUAUUGAGCGUUACAAAGCGCGACUUGUUGCUCGCGGUUUUCGGCAGCGUCAUGGUCUUGACUAUGAGGACACCUUCAGUCCUGUCGUCAAGCCUACCACUAUUCGACUUCUUCUCUCCAUUGUUGUUUCUCGUGGUUGGUCACUUCGUCAACUUGAUGUGCAGAAUGCUUUUCUACAUGGAUUUUUGGAGGAAGAGGUUUAUAUGAAACAGCCGCCUGGUUUCUCUGAUCCUGAUCGUCCUGACUAUAUCUGUCGUCUUUCCAAAGCACUAUAUGGUUUGAAGCAAGCUCCUCGUGCCUGGCAUGCCUGCCUUGCCUCUGCCCUUCGUGCUCAUGGGUUUGUGCCGUCUACUGCUGACACUUCGUUAUUUCUUCUACAGAAGCCAGAAGUCACUAUGUAUCUUUUGGUAUAUGUCGAUGAUAUUAUCCUUGUCAGCUCUUCUCAGUAUGAUGCUGAUGCUCUUGUCUGCUCUCUUGGUGCUGAUUUUGCGGUCAAAGAUCUUGGGAAGCUUCACUACUUUCUUGGAGUUGAGGUCACUUCUCGUGCUACUGGUCUUGUCCUUACGCAGAAGAAGUACUCCUUGGAGUUGUUACAGAGAGCUGGCAUGCUGAAGUGCAAACCGACCACCACACCCAUGUCGUCUACCGACAAGAUAACAGCUGCUGAUGGUGAGCUUUUGUCUCCUGCGGAUGCCACAGAGUACAGGAGCAUUGUUGGUGGACUUCAGUACUUGACGAUCACGAGACCAGAUAUCUCUUAUGCUGUUAACAGGGUUUGUCAGUAUCUUCAGGCUCCCAGAGAUACUCAUUGGGCUGCUGUUAAACGCAUUCUUCGUUAUGUUCAGUUCAUCCUGACAUUUGGUAUGCAUAUUCGGCCGACUUCCUCUCGGGUCCUUUCGGCCUUCUCUGAUGUAGAUUGGGCUGGUAGCCCAGAUGACAGACGAUCCACGGGGGGUUAUGCAGUAUUCUUUGGCUCUAAUUUGAUCGCCUGGAGUGCUCGGAAACAAGCUACUGUGUCACGUAGCAGUACUGAAGCUGAGUACAAGGCUGUGGCUAAUGCUACUGCAGAGAUUAUUUGGGUGCAGUCUUUGCUUCAGGAGUUGGGUUUGUCUCAACCACAGCCUCCUAUUCUUUGGUGUGAUAACAUCGGUGCUACAUACCUUUCUGCAAAUCCAGUAUUUCAUGCCCGAAUGAAACACAUUGAAGUUGACUAUCACUUUGUACGGGAACGUGUAUCACAGAAGCAACUCCAGAUCAAGUUUAUCUCAUCUAAGGAUCAACUUGCAGACAUCUUCACUAAGCCUUUACCGCUGCCACAGUUUGAGGCUUGUAGGCGCAAUCUUACCCUUCUCAGUUCUUUAGAAAGUGGCUAAGAUUGAGGGAGGGUGUUAGACUAUGUAUAGCUUCUGUACCUAUGUACGUAUAUGGUACAUAUUGUAACACAACCAUUAUAUAUAAUGAGAUAAGCCACCCCUAAAGGGUUGUGCUGAUUCCCCAAAACUUAUUGUCUUACACAACCCCACCUCAGAGAUGAGGAAAUCAGACCUGCGCUGCAGUAAUUCCUUUGACUUCCUCAGCAGACACGGAGCGUUACACACAACAAUGCUCACCUCAGCGUCUGACCACCUGAACAUCUUCUUCAAGUAGGCCACAUUGGCGGCGAUCUUCUCCUCGCUGAGGAAUCUGACAGUAUCCAGCGUGUGCCUGAACAUCCUGAGCCACGAGGCAUGCCAAGGCCUUCGGCGCAUGCCACCAUCGCCCUGACGUGUUCUGGCUUGUUGCUCAGGACACCCCGCGCGCGGAGGGACAACUUGGUGAUAUCGCAAUCAUCUAGCCCGCAUUGCCGUAGGAGCGCGACGUUGGGUUUGACCAUCUCCUCGAUGCUGUGUUUUGGUUUUCGGUUUGCGUUUUUUCUCGCCCCUGAACGAGAUGGCCGAAAUUCGGCCAUUUCAAAAAUCUCGGUAAAAUCUCGGACGAAAUUACAAAACCAAAAUUUGAAUUUUAAACGAAAUUUGACUAAAAAUUGGCCGAAAUUCGGCCGAAUUUUUUGAAAACAAGCAGAGCAAAUGUACAGCAGUCGAACAACACUGAGGAGUACAUGUAUGCGUUACCAAACUAGCUUUGGGGAUUAAUAACUCCAAAAGAAAAGAUUGAAACAAGGAUACAGAGAGGUGAUCCAGAGUUGAGGAGUUCCCGAUGGAUUCAGCCGCAGCCCGCAGCCGGCAGAGGUCAGCAGCAGGGGCCGGUCGUAGGAACGGCGAGAACGGGGUAGGAGCCGCAUGCUCGAGCGGGGAGGCAGGUGCCGACGAGCGGAGGAGCCGCGUAUUGGCGCAUCGCCGCCGCCGCAAACACAGGGGCCGCAGGGGAUCGUGGUUAGUUUAGGGUUCACGAGUUCGGUUCGAUGCUUUUAAUCCAGGCAAACCGUGGGGAGGCCCAGAAGUUGGACUGGGCCAGAAAAAAGUUUCAAUCUGGGCCGAAAGUUUUGGCCGGCACAGACAUUUACCGGGUCGAGGCGAGAUGACCGAAAUUCGGCCGAAAAUUGUUUUUUUCGGCCGAAAAUCAAAACACAGCCUCGAUGUCAGCGCCGGCGAGGUAGCCUUGCUUGAGCACCCGGAAGAGGUUCUCCGAGGAGCCGAAUAGGAGCAGGUAGUACCGCAAAUUGGAAACAAUGGACCUGGAACAGAAGUGGGCGAAGGAGAGCGCGACGAGGCGCACGAUCUCAGUACGCGAGAGGCCGAGGCCGGUGAGCCCACGACGACGGGGGCUAGAGUUUUCUCUACUUUGGCGCAGAGGAACAACGGGUCCUUGGCGACGAGGGCGGCGACGUCGGUGCCGGAGAGGCCGAGGCCGGCGAGGAAGGAAAGGACGGCGUCGGGCUUGGACGAGGACUUGAGGUGGGAGAGCUUGGCGGAGGCCUUGAGUGCCUGGGGUCGGGUGAGGCCGAAGGUGGAGACGAGGUAGUCGUCGACGACGAAGCUAGGGUUUGGGGAAACGCCGGGCGCGGCGGCCGCGGAGAGGGGGCGGUGGAGAGGGGGGCCUGAGAGGUGGCGGGGGAAGAGAGGAGCCGCACGAGGAUGCAGCCACGGAGGCGGAGCAUGGCGGCGGCGGCGGCGGAGAGAUUGAUUCCCUAUGGAGGCGGGUGCGAAUGGGAUGGUGCUUCGGAGGCGGGGAUGCGGCGCCCCGGCGAGGCAGGUGAGGAACGGAGGAAGAGAACAGGAGGAGAGAUCGAAGAGGAUGGCACUUCGGCGGCGGCGGCGGCGCCGCCGAAGAGAUUUUCCGGUCCGCUGUGAGUGGAGAGGAAAAAUGGGAAAUGGCAGGUGCGAUGCGAAUGGAGGCUCCGCAAAUUGCAAUAUCACUGAAUCCCAGGGGUCUUUACGUCUUUCAAAAAUACAAAAUACAUUUAAAAAAACAUACAUAAUACAUUGAGCCUCAUGGAAACUUUCAUAUACACAUGGAAAAUAGAUAUCCCCUCCGUUUAAUAAUGUAGUGCAUAUAGAUUUUUGAAAGUCGGACUUUGCAAAUUAUGAUCAAAUUUAUAAAGCGAACUACUUAUACCUACAUUAUCAAAUAUAUAAAAUAUGAACCUACGUCUUAUGAUGAAUCUAAUGAUAUAUGCUUGACAUUCUAGAUGUAAAUGUUUUUCUUCACAAACUUGGUCAAAUUUUGUUAGAUUUGACUUUUCAAAAAAUCUACAUGCAAUCAUUAUGCAAUCGGUAUUAUAAGGAAAAUGACUUUGAGCGAUAAGAUUAUAUCACAAAAUAAGCUAUUAUACGACUUGUACUUAUCCUAUGAUUUUUUUCUGUAGGUAUAGUACUUCAUCCGUUUUUAUUUACUUUGCAUAUUAGAGUUGACUGAAGUCAAACUUUGUAAAGUUUGACCAAGUUUAUAGAAAAGAAUAUAAAUAUUUACCCUAACAAACGAAAAUCUGCAUCUGAGCCCGGGCUCAGAUGUUCCCGCUCAGAAAAAAAUUCAAAACAAAUUCUAGAAAAAUUCAAAUAAAUCCAAUUUUUUGUGUGGUAGAUAAUUUGAUGCGUGAGGCCCGCUUCAAAUUUCAACUCAUUUGGAUAUCUGAGGAGCUCUCGGCAAAAAAGACAAAUCGGAUCAAAACAGUUCGUGAACAAUAAACUUUUUUACAGACCCGAUUUUGUCUUUUUGCAGAGAGCUGCUCAAAUGUCCAAACGAGUUGAAAUUUGCAGCAAACCUCACGCAUCAAAUUAUCUAUCACACAAAAAAUGGAAUUUUUUUGAUUUUUUCUAGUAUUUGUUUUGAUUUUUUUCGUCGGAGCGAGUGCAGUUGAGCCCGGGAGCCAAAUUGGCUUAUAUGAUGUGAAAGUAUGUUCAAUAAUGAAUGUAAUGGUAUUGAUUUGUUAUUGUACAUGUUAAUAUUUUUGACUAUAAACUUCGUCAAAAUUUAUAAAGCUUGACUUUGACCAAAACUAAUAUGCGGAAUAAAUAAAAACGGAGGGAGUAAAUGGCUAUGUUUUUUUUUGUACGUAGUAAAUGGUUACUUUUUCUGAUUUUUUUUAAAUGGUUAUGCUUGCUAACCAAUCCAAUUCAAAUUAUAUGUCGCUCAAACGGAUGUAUCUAAUUAAUAUGGAUCGGAUGGAGCAGAAAAGUUCAUAUGGAUAUAUAUUUUCUCAAAACUUGAAAGUAUGAUUUCUACAAGUAAAAAAAAAUCAUAUGUGAACUAUGUUUGUUUUUAGCAUUUUGUGUGCGUUCAUGUUUCUUUUUCUCUCUCUUCAUUCUAGCCUCUUUUCCUCCACCUCACUCUGUUCUCACAUUGACAUUGUUGCCUUUUUCAGUGGACUCCUACCUAUCUUUUCUAACUUUUGCAAGGUGAGAAUUGAGAAGGUUAUUAUUCUUUAGUUUUAUGUGUAUAGCUAUCCUAGAGUCGAGAUCAAUUGCAUCGUGUCCACUUAUCCUCUAUAACACUAAGCUUCCUAGUUUUAAAAAGCCCACACUCAAUUAAGGUCUCCAAUUAGAAUUGGAUCAUCCGAUUUUGAACGGGUCAACAAUUUCUCAAAGCUUCAUAAUCCAAUUUUUUUAUACUAUACCAUAUGCUUCCUAAUUUUUAAGGCCUCACAAUUAAUUAAGAUAUUCAAUAUAGAUUGAUCAUCCAAUUUUGACUGGGUCAACAAUUUCUCAACCUCUCCAAUUGAAUUCUUUUAAUUCACUAUAUUCCAAAAUUUUGAAUCUCUUUCAUUCAAUUGAGGUAUUCAAUUUUGAUUUGGUUGAAGAUUUUGAGUGGGCCAAUGAUUUUCAAAUCAAUCAGCUGCAACUGACCUAUAAAAACAUAUCAAUCCCAUGCACCCUUCCACCACAUAGAAAAAAGAAACGUCACCAUGUGAUAUUGUAGUAUCAAUAUAGUACAUGCAACCACCAACGCAGAAAUUUUUCCACAUAAAUAUAGGUUGGUUAGCGGAUGACACAGUCAUCUCCCCACCCGCCUAACUUAAUAUUCCAUCAGUUAUAAAAUAUGAAGGGUAUUAAUUUUGUAGAAAGUAAAACUUCUUUAACUUUGACCAAGUUCAGAGCAAAAAUAUCAACAUCCACAAUAUUAAACAAAAAAAGUAUGGAAAUUCAUUUCGUGAUGAAUCUAAAAAUACUGAUUUAAUCUUAUGAAUUUUGAUAUAUUUCUCUCAAAUUUGAAAAAACUUAAAAGGUUUGGCUUUUCAAAAAAAUACACCUUAUAUUAUGAAACAGAGUGAUUAGUUUCUUAAGAUACCCAAUAACAUGAACGGCGCAGCAAAGCGCGCAGAACCCUUCUAGUUAGUAGUAUAUCUAAGAACAAUUAGCAUCCCAUUGAUGAUCGAUAAACCUUCUUAGUCCAGCUAGUGGUUGGUUGUCUAGAGUAUAGCUGGCCAAAUGGGCCGGUUUUUUCGGGUCGGCCCGUGAGCACGCCGGCACGGCCCACCUUGGGCCAGGCACGGCACGGGCCAAACGAGCCAGGCCCAGCACGCGGCACGCCCUAGGCCGUGCCUGGGCUGGAGGCUGGGCAUGCGGGCCGGCACGGCACGGCCCGAUUAUGUUUUUUAUAUUUGUUAUACAUUUAUAUAUGAUCCAACAUGUAAAAAUAAGCUAAAAACGCUCAAUGCGUCAAAUAAUAGGCUAAAAAUAUGCGGCCCACCGUGCUAAAUGGGCCAACGUGCCGGCUCGUUUACUAACGGGCCGUGCCUGGGCCUGGGGGCGCAGCACGCGGGCCGGCACGGCACGGCACGUAUAGUAAUCGUGCCCUGGCGGACCGUGCCGGACCAGGCACGAUUAUGAUGGGCCGGGCCAUGCCGUGCCGGGCCAGCCCGUUUGGCUAGGUAUGGUCUAGAGAUCUAUAUGGAGUCAGUUGAGAUGGGAUGGUCAGCCAAGUGGGUUGAUCAAUGCUCCUCUUAAAAUUCGAAGCCUAAAGUAGAUGUGCUACUCGAGAAAUAAAAAGACCAACGUAGACCGUACCAACAUCUAAUAUUUGACGUCACAUUUAAAUUUGAUACUAUUCAUACCCAUAAUUGUCCCUUUGCUCAUCGAAUUAUGCAUCUUAUAUAAAUGUUGUAAAUGAUCAAUUUUUAUAAUAAUUUUAGGGUUGUAGUUCGGUGCAUAGGUAGCUCAGAGGAACCAUAGUCAUCGCUUCCUCUCCAAAAAAGCUUAGGGUUCCUAUGCCUCCCGCUGGCGCAGCUGCCGGUCCACCUCGUCUCCGGUGGCCCUAGGGUCAUGGGGACACGGUGAAUCUCAUCCCUUACCAGAGGGCUUCGUUUUUAGACGUUUCUUUGAAUUUUGUUAGGGUUGUGUCUUGCUAAUUAAGGAGGGCAAGACAACGACGGCUUCCUGAAGAUUGAAUAAGAUUCUCCCCGCCUAGCCCCCGUCUCGAUGGCGCAUCUAACAUCGUCGAAGAGUGUGUGGAGGUGUAUCUCCGCCAGAUCUCGCAGGAUUCGGUAGGUGGUUUGUCUUUGGUGGAUCUACUCGGACCCGGUCUUCGUUCGUCUACGUUUGUGUGUCGCUAGAUUGGAUCCUUCCGAUCUAUGGGUCUCUUCAUCGGCGGGGGUUGCUAUUCUAGUGCGCUGGUCCUACGAGGCCUUAGCACGACAAGUUCCCGACUGUGUACUACAAUAAGUUCUGCCCGGCUCCGGGGAGGGAAGGGCGAUGACGACGGUGCGUCUUCGGCUCGUUUUAAUGCUUGUAGUCUUUGCUAGAUGGUCUAAGGAUGAAUGUGAUUUUUAUUAUUCCUAUUGUUCAUUGUAUUGUCAUGAUUGAAAAUGAAUAUAUCAAAUGAUUUCUCAUAGAAAAGAAGCUCAUAAGAACCAUUAAAAGGACAAUCGUGUGGUCUCCCUAGACUUUUUUUUAGAAAAGGAGGAAGACCCCCGGCCUCUGCAUCUGAGCGAUGCAUACAACCACUUUAUUAAUUAUUCUCAAAAGACCUUACAAAGAAAUACAACAAUAAGUCUGAAGCCAUCAUCUAGGCAACAUCUGUUGCUACUCCUAUUCAUUUGAUGAAGGGAUGCUGAUAGUCUGGGCUUAAUACCAAACAGACCUCGCAGCCAAACCUAACAUCUAAGACCUGAGUUCCCAUCCAGGACGCCUGCCGGGUAUGGGUCACCCACCGGUCCGGCACACUCCUCAACAUGGACGCCUGCCGGGUAUGAGGCCGCCGCAGCCACCUGCCACCAAUCCAUCUUCAGAGAUGUAGUGUUGCAUCUACCUUGUCCGGUCUAGCUGCCGUCGACGCCACCACGAUGCCAGACAACGCCACCAUCCUGCGCUCGUCCAUCAACACACGCCCAGCAGCAAGAUCCCGCUGCUCUAUGCCCCUGAGACCCGCCAUUGUCGACGUAUCAGAUGCAACGCCGCUCCUCCUUCGCGAACACCACCUUCUACCACUGGUCCUAUCCCCUCCACCUGUAGAUCCUCUGAACUCCCAACCGAGCCCUAGUGCCCCUGACGACACCUCCAGGAAGGUCACGACGCAAAAAGCGCCGCUGCCGCCAGAUCCGAAAAGGAUUGAAGGUUUUCACCCGGCCGGGGAUCGGGGUGGAUAGAUUGGGCCCUCAGCUGCGCCUUCAUGAAGGAAAGCGGCACCCAUGAGCGUCGCCGCCGCCGGGCCGGCUAGACUGGCCAAGGUUUUCCCCGGACCCAAAGUACACCACCAGGGCUGACCACCACCGGAGCCUGCAGCCGUAAACCACCAGGACGACGACAGAGGCAGCAGGAGAAAGGGGAACCAUUAAAAGGACAAUCGUGUGGUCUCCCUAGAUGGUCCUUGGAGGGAGCGAUGCAAUUUCAUUUCCUUUUUAUUGCAUUCUCAUGGAUCUAUGGGAUACACAGAUUUGGAAUAGCCAUGCGUUAUAUAGGUUUGGAAAAGAUGAAUGGGCAGGACAAAGCCCAUCAAGGUCCACAGUUGGACAUGGUAUUUUUCUCUUCCCUGAUCUUGUGUGGUUGUUACAUUACAACGAGGACUAGAUGCAUUCAUGAACCUGAGGAGACUAUAUACGGUGAUUAUAUCGUGGCUAUCAUAUUUACCUAUUUUACAAAGAAUGAUCGGAUAUAAUUUACUGGUACAAUCCAUUGUGUGCCUUUCACGCUUCCGUCAGUUUAAUUUCCUCACAUUUUAAGUAGUCUUGUGAAGUUGUGAUCAGGUAGCUCGCAAUCUGAAUUUCUGUAAUGAAUUUUUUUUGGUCCAACGAGUAAAACGUAGACUUGGUGACCCUCAAAAGGGAUGAUAUUUUACAUAACGAGUAAAUCAUGAUGUCCUUAGAUAUUUCUUAUGAGUAUUUCUUCUUUUCUGCGGAAAAGUUUCUUGUCUUCCGAACUCUUGGAUGUGGGCAGAACUCUUGAUGAGCCGAGGCACCCGCGGCAUGCCAUUGUGAGUCAAGUUUGCCAUUGUUUGAUGGGAAGUUUUCAAGUGCUACAUGUAGAAGGACGCUAUAGUGGCUGCAAUCUUGCUGCUAAGUGACACGUACUGUCACCCUGUUUCUAAUGAAAAAAACUGAAGAACAAUGACUCAUUUAAACAUUGUUCAAUUUUGUGGUUCAUGAGCCUUUUCUUCAAAGUUUACUUAAAAGUUGGGUUAUUAGGUAAAAAAUGGUUCCUUUCCUUUUGUGCUUGCAAUUUAUUGUCCUGACAAAAACACUUUUUAUUGCAGUGCUAAGAAAAUGCGUCUACUACUUGACUGAACUAAAUACUCUUGAUAGCAAACCCUCUCUGGGCAUAUUCGUAGAUUCAAGGUGAGGAGACAUGCCAGCAUACAGACCAGCAACAUACAUGGCACAUGUACGACGUUCUAACAAGAGCAUAAAGUUGAUUGAUUCUUGAUAGCAUCACCUGAAUAUAUCACUCACGGAUUCAUGAAUGUUCCCCGUUGCAAUGCACGGCCAUUCACCUAGUAAAGGCAAUGAUUUGUUGGUAGUAGAGGCAUCUCAUGUUUCAAAGGGUUAAACCUUAGCCGUCGUGACCCGGCUCCAUGGCUGGGUCAAUCUCGCACCUCUGUUGGUGCCGAACCCUAGGCAAAUUCCCCCAAAUCUCUUGUUGUUUCUAUUGAUUGACCGAAUGUGAGGAGCAAUAGUAGAUCAAUAACUCUCGUAUAACCGAGGGAAAAAGAAAUGAAGAGAAGUUGGCGAAAGUAUCAAGUGGUACAUCUACUUUUUAUAACAUCACAUGAAGCCGGCGAAAAGGAAAGCCGAUCAACGAAGAAACUGCAUAGGGGACCUAUCAUGAGUGAACAUUGCGUGGGCGCCAUUGGCCGCAUCUCAUCAUCUUGUUGUGUAGAAGAAGAAAUGACUGCCGAUGCUGCUGGUGCCUCCAUCUCUAUGACCUUGCCGUCCAAGCCCGCAUUAGCAACAAACACGUAGCACUAGAGCACGGGAGGAGAGUUGAUCAGGGAAAUCGCCUUUCUUGACGACAGGAGAAUUAGUGAUGGGCGACUCCACGCGACGCUGAUGUGAUUUCAGGCCACACUAAAGGAUGUCGGAGAAGGGGGCCAUAGGACGAACUCAACCGCAUCGGUAGUGGGCUUGGUGGAUAUUGUGUCGAGGGCUCGGGGACGCACUCGGUGAUGGUGGUGGACCUCGGGGAGGGGGGCCUCAUACACGUGGAUGCAGGGGAAAAGAGGGUGCACGGGCUUGAAGGCAUUACUCAUCCACCUCUUCUGGCAAAGAGAGCUCAUCGGGGCCAACCGCGUGAAGGAGGAGCUUGAGGUAGCUUGGAGGAGGCGACGACGACAACCAGAUCCAUCUGGCAAGCCAGAGUGGAGGCAUCCCACGUGGGAGCAGUGAUUUCGGUGCCUAAGCUUAGAUGCACCUGCUAUUAUGUUUGUUCAUUGCUGCAUGGAGAUUCAGGAAAUGGGGCAUGAGGUGGCAUUGCUAGGGCGUGGAAAAUCCCCAAAAUGAACUAUACAUGCAUGAAUAGUGUGAUACAUGUGGGUCUAUCGUGUAGCACACGAGGAGGGUUCGAACGAAGGACAGACGGUGCCAUCUUGGUUGGAUUCUGAUCCAUGGCACCUAAUCGUCUGCAUUCAUCUAAGUCGUGGCUCACUCUGCUGCCUGUGGCAUGACUUUGACACUUUGAAUCCGAGUCAUGGCCUAAAGAUUUGUGUAGCUCCAGUUGGGGCCUGCGGUGUAGGAUCGUCGGUACGCACACCGAAUGUCAUCCACGACCGACGUCGGCCAACAGAUUGCUAGCUUACUAGACGCUACAAGAGGUAGCGUCCUUCGUGAAGUUUGUGUGCUUCAACACCAACCAGGUCAUCCUAAGCCGUCAUGGACAACCCAUUCAUCUACGUGGUUGACUUCAACAUUGGAGACGACUUCUCAUGGUCGUUGCUCAUGUCACACCUUGCUCACCAUGGCAACAAGCUGUUUCAUGUCACGUCACUUGCCACCACAUUAAUGCACCGCGCGGAUACGCAUGCACCUACAAUCGUGCAUGGUGUCCCUCAGAGUUCACGCGCGUCCCUAGGGGCUCCCAUUCCAGUACGACGAGAAGGACCUCCUGGUCUGGGCUGGAAGUCACGUAAUGGUACCUACAACAAUCUCGAAAAGAGUAGAAGGCCUGGAUUUCGAGAGCAUCUGAGCUCGCACUUAGAAAUCUAUUUUUGUUCCCACGGUCCAUACAUAGAGAGAAACUAGAAAAGAAAAUGCAAAACACGCAUACAUGCAUGCAUGCUUCCACAAAUGGGUUACCAGAUACCUUUCUGGGGCUCUGGUGACCUCACAUUCAUUGUUGACCCCUUACGACCUCACAAUCAUGGGAGAGAUUUCAUGACCGCACACUGUCUCUAUAAAAGCCUAUCACCUCUAUGAAUCAUGUGGCUCCAUCAUUUCAAAUCCUCCGCGCGCCUAAGAUACCACUUGAGAAAUUACUAAUGGCCAACGGAAAGAAUGUCAUGGCCAUGUUGUUUCUCACCACCAUUGUGGCGGUGGCGGCCACAAGGCCAGCCGAGACCUAUGGCGCUGCGGAGGAGAACACAUUGAAGAUGGCUACCCCCAGCAAGAAAGGGGUUGACGCUACCUUAGCAGCUACACGUGUUGUUGCCGCCGAGAAGUCCAUCAAGAAGGCUGAAAGCGCCACCACACCAGAAGAGGCCGCGACUGCCAAGCAAGAUGGAGCAAAAUCUGCUUCUGCUGCAUUAAAGUACAAUGCCAUCUCUCAGCAGGCAAAUGGUAAAGGUUCUUCUACCUCCCUAGGCAGGAAAGAAGCAGCCGGUACUUUAGCCGCCGCACACUAUGCCGCCGCCGAGAAGUCCAUCAAGAAGGCCGAAACCGCCAAGACACCUGCAAAGGCCGUGGCUGCCAAGCGAGACGCAGCAAAGUCUGUUGACAAUGCAUUAAAGUAUGAUGCCAUCUCUCGGAAAGCAGCUGGUACAAGUUCUUCUACCUCCCCCAAUAGGAAAGAAGGCACCACUGAUGCUGCUAAGAUGUUCACCAAGAAGGCUGAAACCGCUACCACACCUGAAGAGGCCGCGAAUGCCAAGCAAGCUGCAGCCAAGUCUACCGCUGCUACAUCAAAGUAUGGUGUCAUUUCUCAGCAAGUAGCUGGUACAAGUUCUUCUACCUCCCCUAGCAGGAAAGAAGCUGCCGGUACCUUGGCAGAUGCUCACAUAGCUACUGCCGAGAAGUCCAUCAAGAAGGCUGAAACCGCCACCAGACCUGAAGAGGCAGCAUCCGCUAAGAAGGAUGCCGCGAAAUCUGAGGCUAAUGCAAUGCAGUACGGGGCCAUCUCUCAGCAGGCCACCGGCAAAAAUGGUGCCUAAGUGGUGCCUUAAACACCUAUUCACGCGCAACAUCAUCUACAUACUACCAUGCACGCAAAAUAGCAGCAUUGAGAUACCACGUUAUGCUAAUUCUCAUGCAUGCAUGCUUUGUUUAAACGUUCACAUUAUGAAUCAUGUAUUAAUGUCUUGCUUGUUUUAUUUUUAGUAGUAAGACACGCUUGACUUGCUUUAAAAAAAAUACAACAAUCGAUGUAUACAUGUAUCAUCUGAAAAUUAAUAAUAUGAGUUCCACCACAAUUUGUGUCUUUUUGUCAUAUUUUGGGUGCAAUCAAUGCACACAUCCAAUACACAAAAUUGGACGAGUCAAUGUGUUAUGGCUCCAUGGAGCGGCGAAUCAUGUUUUAUUGUCUUGCUUGUUUUACUUUUAGUAGUAACUAG
rnacentral:lncRNA from 1 species